UGAUGCAGGUAAUUGGAGUAACCCCGUCACUGACUUCUCUACUGACCUUCUGCCGGUCAAGAGAGGCAAUCCAGGAUGCUCCGUCAUCCCGAUCUCCAUCGGCAUGGUGGACAUCCCAGAAGCACUCUGCGACUUUGGCUCUAGUGUCAACAUUAUACCCAGGGUACUCUAUGAAAAAUUCUUUACAUAUCCUUUAUUAGAGAUAACCAUGUGUUUGCAGUUUGCAGCUCAGACGAUAACUUUCCCAAAAGGAAUAGUGAAGAACCUUUGCGUCCAAGUUGGUACCUUGUAUGCCCCAGCAGACUUCGUAGUGGUAGAGACCGAAAAUGAUGAGAGGGCACCUAUCAUCUUAGGGAGGCCAUUCUUGAACACCACGGGAGCUAUCAUCUACGCUAGUGCUGCCAAGAUCAGUUUCUACAUCAAAGGGAGGAAGGAAACAUUUUUCUUCAAGAACAAGACUACACAAAUUCCAGAUCAAUCCAUACGUGAAUCAAGGAAGAGGACCAACAGGAGGAACAGGAACAAGCAAGUGUGGACUGAGUCAGCUAAGAUGGUCACUAUAGUUCAUGGAGGCCAAGAUCACCAACUUAAGUCACCGAUUUUGACCAAGAAGGACGACCCAGGAAUGCCAAGCAUCUACUGCUCCAUAAAUGGAGACAACUUCUACAAGACGACUUGUGACACCAGAUCGGGCGUCAACAUAAUGGCCGCAGUCACCUAUCGGCUCUUGUUCGGAACCAUGCCACUAAAACAAACAUACAUUCAGCUCCAGAUGGCAGAUCAGACAUUUCGAGAAGUUAAAGGAACAGUAACUGAUGUCCCAGUCAAAAUAGACGAUCAUUUUGUCUACACAGACUUUCAGGUUAUUGACAUGGGAGAAGACGAAUAUGAUCCACCCAUCAUCCUUGGAAGACCGUUCCUCAGCACCGUUAAAGCAAUUAUCUACAUUGGAACUGGAGAAGUCCAUAUGCACUUUCCCUCAGAAAAGGUACACCGUUAUUUUACUGACCCUAAUUAUAUCGUUGAAGAAUCUAAGCAGGUAAGAAAGCGACGCAACCGCAACCAGAGGAUGCAGAUCAUCAAGGACGGAUGGGUAGACUACGAAGGAGAAGUGAUAAGGUCAGAAGACGUAGAGUUUAAACAGAAUUAUCUAGAGGAGACCGAAACACCGAGUCAGGCAUGGAAAGAGAAGAUAAUCAUACAUGAAGAGGAGGCGCCGCCGGAAGUACCGACUCCGCCACCCAACGAAUCUCAGGACAAUUAAGAAAGAGGAGAGUCCCGUUCGGAGGACUUAAAAACAUCGAACGCCUUGCCAAGAGGUAAACUUGGUAGUUAUCUUUUUCCUUUCAAUUAUUUCAACUAGUUUACUUAGUUAAUCAUGUUCAUGCUAUCGUAAAAAUAAAAUAAAAAUGUGAAAAACAGUAAGCCCCAUGUGAGUAUAUGAGUGGCAUAAAACCCAUAAGUACAUUCACUUUGGUGGCAUAAAAAUAAAAUAAAUAUUUUUUUCUGCUUUAUAAAACAAAAUAUAAAAAUAGGGAGUAAUAAUUGUUAAGGAGUCUCAACAUGAUAAAGGCUAGUUAUUUAUGCUAACGCUUAAUCAGUUCCACAAGUUUGUUGUCUAUUUAAGCUCCACAGAAUUUAAGAAUCAAGAAGACUAGCAGACGGAGGACAUUCUAAUCACUGUUAGAAUGCUGCUGACUUUCAAAUACACCUCUGCCACCUGCUAGCUACAUCAAGAGAAAUUACGUCAAAAUUCAGCUUGGGGGAGAGCACCCCAUUUAUCUCGAUAAGUAUUUCUAUCUAUCUAUCUUAUAUUAUAUUAGAAUAUAAAUAUACAUAACGAUGAAAAACCAAAUAAAGAUUUCAUGCUUAUAUAUAUAUAUAUCUUUUGCUUAGUGUGUUUAAUAAAUAAAUAACUGGCUAUGCUAAUCUGUAUCUAAAUAAAACUUAAGCAUGGAUAUGAUGAAUAGUUGCUCUGCCUAAUUUGCACAUUUGAAGUUCUCUCUCAAGUUUAGAUAUAACUGUUAUAAUUUAAAGUUUGCUCUAGACCUUGUGGGAUGAAAACUUGAUCUGAAGUCUAAGUAGUUAACGGAUACGAUAUGGGAAGGUUGAGCUGCUGUUUAUCAGUUUCUAGAGAUUCUAGAUUUCUAGAGAAUUUUAUCUUUGAAAAUCUUUAAAAUGUUGCAUGAUGAGUUCCUGUAUGAUGAGAGUUUAAAUUCCUACCACAGCCAUAUAUACAUGCUUGCUAGACUUUGAACCACACAUUUACUAUUUACUGCUUAUGAGCAUUGAGUGUGGUCAAGCUGUGUAGACCCUUAGGAGAUUGUCAUGUGGUUAAAUCAAGAUUUCACUUGCACGUUCACUCAUAUAUGCUACUUCUACUCUGGAAGUACCAUCCACAUAUAUCUAUCCAUUUCCAUCUCCAGAAUCACCCAAAAAAUAUUCUACUCCUAAUCCGGGAGAGAAUAACCAAAAAUAUUUCUGUUUUUCCCUUGCGAAAUAAAUGCUCAAGUUAUCUUGUUACUACCACUUGCUAUACUAUCUUAAGAGAUGAGUGCUCUAAAAAAAAGAGAGAAGAAAGAGAUACGAGGAAAUAAAAAGGGGCAAGUGCCUGGAACCUCGAAAGAAAAGAAAAAGUGAGACGGUAGGUAAAAAUGGACAAGUGUCCGACAGUAGAAUUAGGGGUACAAGAUACCCACCUGAGAAAAAAAAAUAAUAUAAUAAUAAAGAGCAUCUCAUUCUCCUCAUAAAGUUUUAAAAAAAGCAAGGAAGGUAUGUAUCCCCUCAAAGAGCAAAAUUAGAAUUAGACUUCCACCAUUGCUAUCACCAUCAUCACCAUACACCAUUCAUUCGCCACACAUGCACAUCUUGAUUUGACUUAUUGAUUUGUUUCUUUGGAUCCAUGGUUUGACUAUACAACACAUGUCUUGUAAGUAUGUAUAUUUUAUCUCCCACCUAUGAGCUCCAGAUAUUAAAGCCUUAUUAGAGUAGGGUGAGAGAGAAGACAAUGUCACUAUGCCUUAUACCACAAAUACUACAUAUCUUGAGAGAAGGCAUAUACCAUCACUGCCUUGGUAAGGAUCCAGAAAUACCACAAAAGAGAGAUCUGAGAGAAUCAUACAAGAAAUUUCUGAGUUUUAUUUAAAAAUCUGCAAAAACUUCAGAGCUAUAGCUGAUCAAGAAUAAGAGACAUGGCACUUGACUAGACUGUUCUAUCUUUUAACCACUCAAAACAGAAUUGACGGUUACAAGUCCCAUGGUGAAGGUAAAGUAAGUAAGUUUUAAGUCUUGAUAGUUUACUCUAACCCAGAGAUGAGAUCUUAUUUAAAAAGCAUGUGUACCGUCAAUUUUUAAAGAUAUUGCAACAACUUCUGAUUCAUUGCUGAGUCUAUCCUUGCUCAGGGACAAGCAAGAGGUAAGCUUGGGGGAGUUUGUUGACGGUCCUUAAGUAUCAAAUUUAAUUAUCAAAUAAACAAAGAAAAGGAUCCAAAUGAAAUCAACAUCUAGACUUAGGGUUUUAUCUGACAGAAUUUCACGAGUUUUGGUGUUUGUCUAUUUCUGUAGGGGGUUAUCAGAAAAUACGGAAGAAAGGCCCACACGUCGGGAUUACAGAGAGAUAUUAACGUGCCGCGCAAUUAUCUUACAUCUAGAAGACGCUAGAAGCCACGAGACCGAAGCGGAGGCAAAACAGGGCCAGAGGUAGGGCACCCGCCCUGUUCCCCUAGGCGCCCUCCCCCUCUGAGAGUCCAAUCAGGACUCUGCUUCAUGGGAGAUCUCCACCGACCUAAAGGAUGAAUCUAAACCAUACAAUCUAUGUCGGUUUGAUCUAACGGCUCAUAUUCACUUGAAGGGACUAUAAAACCAGACCCCCUGGCCCCUGGAGGAGAGAGCCUCUCAACCCUAAUUCAUUGUUCUUCAAGGGAGAAGAAGCCUCUGAUCAAGAUUAGAGCCACCACAUCAAUUAGACAUCUAGAUUAGCAUAGCUACAUAGGAUUAGAACUAGAAGGAGUCAAUCUUCGAUUGGUUUCCGGAUCUGUCAAGAGGAUUCUUAGUAAUUCUCUAAUUGUGCUUCUAAUUGCUUUCUAAUCGUCUUUGUUCUUCAAUAUUAUGAAUAUGACUUUGUUCUACUUCAAUAUAUUGCUUAUGACUUUGGUCUACUUGUUUAUAUUCAAGAUUAUAUUGUUCUUAGUUUAUCAUAGUUAUGUACUUGGCUUAGUUAGAUUGGAUCUAUAUACAUGCUUAGGAUCGUAUAGCGUUUAUCCAUCGGAUCCAUGGAUAAAUGAUAGAUAUUGUGUAGGCGUGGUGCUUAUACCGUAUUUAAUUGCGAUUGUACCCAAUAUGCCAGAUCGUGGGGUAGUUCGUGAUAGUGACAGCUUCAUUUAUUCUUAUAUAGUCCCCCUCUCGUGUAUUGGGCGGCAGAGCAAUAUUAUUACAGGGGAGUGAUUGCUAUGUUUCUCAUUUACCUUGCUAAUAUCACUAUGCAUGGGCGUAGUCUUGUCUCGCAAUGAUUGCUAAUUAUGCUUGCACUAACUAUGAUAUGCUAGACUAUAUAGUUGAGAGUAACUUAGGGAGUAUUCUUGUAGUUCGUUCUAAUACCAUGCUAAUGACUUUCUAGAGUAUCUAAUUGAGGUGCUUAUCAUAUUUAUUAUGUGGCUAGAUCAGACUAAUUAUCUUUGUCACUGUUUAUUAUCUCAUAUAUCUUUUAUGUGACACUUAUCCCUGUACGAAAGAGUUAGAUAAAUGUUCUCAAUUAUACAUGCAAUGAUAGAUACUCAAUCUCAUAUUCUAUUCUGUAAUCAAUAGUGAUGAUUGUUAAUCCCUUCCCAGUGGUAAAAAUAUAAAUAACGAUACCUGGAAUACUUCCCGGUUAAAAUGCUACAUCGGUAUUAAUCUAUGCGCUUGCAGAUCCCAUUCAUUAUUUAUUUAGAAGAGCAAUUGAAUAUUUCAAUACCGUGUCUCUCAUGUCAUGCUGGGGAUGACAACUUGGCUUAAGUGGUGUGAGGGAUAGGUUUGGCAUUUUUGGCACCGUUACUAGAUUUAGAGAACUUAGUCUAGUUUUGGUAAUGAUGUUAAGAAUACCCAACUGUAAUCAUGUUCUUGCAAGUUUAUCUCUAGUCUAUGCCUUGAUAGAUUUAUCCUUAUCUUAAUUUAACCCUUUGUCCUCCUAAGCAAAAUUAUAAAUAACGAUACCUGGAAUACUUAUCCUCGUGAAAUGCUACAAUGAGGUGUUUUAUCUGUGCGCUUGCGGAUAGAAUAGAUUAUUUUCUAGAGAGCCUCCAUAUUUAUAAAUACCUUUGUACACUCUGGCACCAUGCUGGGGAUGACAACUGUUUCGCCAGAAAAAUCACUACUACGUGGGAUCUCUUUGUGUUUCAUAGGUCGUGUUACGUAUUACUAAUAUGCGCAGGCGUGCCAGUAUACGUCCGUAUAUAAAAUAAAAUAAAUAUGCAAUAAAACACAAGGGACAAAAGUUCAGGGAAAUAUCACUUUAUUCAGUCUUUUGAGAAUUACAAAGUACAAUUUCCCACUUUAAUAUAAAUUUGCGCUGAGCUCCAUCUGACAGUCAGAGGAUUGUGUGGCUUCUAGUUCCCGGGGCCUCUAGAGGCCUCCAGUUAAUUACAUCCGCAGCGUUGAGCCGCGGAACACCUCCGAUUAAGCUAUGCCGAUAGUCAUAGUUGUCGUCUCCAAGUAAAUAAAAGUCAUCUCCAUGUAUAUGCAUAAGCACAAAUGAAUAAAAAUGGUGAAGUGCUAGAGCCUCGUCGGCCUCUAGCAACAAGGUCUCCAGCCUCGUCGUGCGGAUCCCAUAAUGAAGUCAAGUGUUCGGCCUCGUCGGUCACGAACAAAUAAUUCCGGCCUCGUCGGUCGCGGAAAGAAAAUGUCCCAGCCUCGUCGGUCAGGGGAGGAAAAUGACUUCAUAUAGUUCACCGGCCUUGACAGUGCAGGAAUGCGGUGUGGUGAUCGUGAGACUUGUGCUCAUGUAGUACUUAGGAGAUUUCUCCUUGUAUGAAUUUCUGAGAUCGUUGGUGGGACAUUUAGUCAGUCACCAAUUUACAUAUGUGCAUGAACUCGAGCGCUUUGUCAUAACUUGAAUUAUUUGUAGGUAUUGCACAAAAAUGAGCUUGGGACCUAGCCGAGCCUGUGGUUGCUUGGGUCGAGAUGUUGACAUGGGGCCAUCAAUAUAUAAUGGACCAGGUAAUAACGUUGAGCUAGCUUGUGAUUUGUACAUAUAUAUGUACUUGGCCCACGUACAACUUGCAUGCAUGGUACUAUAGACUUGGACUUGCUUCUUGAUUUGCUUUCUUGACGUGUAUAUUGUGUAUGUAUACGUUGGCUUUGAACUUGACUAGCUUCUGGUGUUUGCAUACUGAUUGUGUUCGUGGACCAACAAAGCCCAAGUGUUGCCGAGCCAAGCAGCCCUGCUGCCGUGGUGACCAUGCCUGCCAUUCUGGCCAUCGCCGGACUCACUGUCGAUCGGCGUUUUUGUUGGGCCGAGGGCACCGUGUGUUACUGCCGUAUAUGUCGGAACCACAUGUUCGCACAUGUUUGCCGCACCGUCAUUCCUUUCAGGCUGCCCGUGGAUACGCCGUGUUGCCGAGCCGUCGUAUGUACAUCAUGACAGGGAUUUGCAUGUACGCCACCGCUAUAGUGUCAAAGUUGCAUGUUCGCUGGGCUGCCGUUUGUGCCAAACUGCCGCAGUCGUCAUAGAUUGCCGAGCCACUGCACGCAUGCUUUUCCCAACGCGUCGCGCCGCCGUUGUAGAUUUGCCUGCCCGAUCUUUGCAUAUGGUCGCCUUGUCGAGAUAGUUGCAGGCGCCGCCGUCGUUCCGGCGUCGUCAUCAGGACUCAGUGGCCGGGCCAUGAACGCAUGCACAAUCUAUGCCACAACCAUGCACAGAUAUAUGAGACAAAAUAAUCAAAACAUAUAAAGAACCUCACCUUCGAAGUGAGCAGCCAUGGUGACGCCGGUGGUGUGGAUCGGCUCGCCGGAGACGAUGUAGACGAGCUCGCCGGAGACGAACCUGUGGAUGUUCGGCUUGCCGGAGACGAGGCUGUAGAUGUUCGGCUUGCCGGAGACGAAGUCGACAACCUUGCUGGAGAUGCGUGUAUGCGUGUGCGCUAGGCAGCGGCGUGCGUGCAGCCUGGUGGCAGCGGUAUGGUGUGUGUGCGUGUGUAACAGGGCGGCGGUGUGUUGCGAUGGAUGGAAGAGCCGUCCCUAAGAAGAGAGAGUUGGCCUCCUUUUAUAGGCCAAUGCUAGGGUAGCAAGCUAAGGCGGUGGCGAGUGGAGGCGCCGCCAUCAAUCUGGUGGCGAGCGGCCGAGACGCACGGACACGCGGGCCAUGCCCAUUUCAAAUUUUGAAGUGGCCUUCUCCAAGCGGCGAGCACCAGCCGCGGAGGCAAAUUUUAAGAUGAUCUUAUCCUCAAUAGAGUUUAUCCUUUCAUGCCCAGGCGGUGAGGCGGUGACCUGCAAACCUGAAGACACACGUCUUGUAUUUACCUUGCUAGCUGACUGAUGGGUCCAAUAGGAGCUUCGUUAGCCAUCUUGGCCUGGGUACAACACAUACUGUCACAACCGUGUAUUUGUACGCACAUGCGUAUAACAAGCUGGCUUUAGAUAUAUAUAUAUAUAUAUCUGUAUAUACGUAUGUGUGGACUUGUUGUUGGCUUUCGAAGAAGAAAGCUAACAUACAGAUACUCACGGGCAUGCUUGCAUGGGCCAGGCACGAGUCACUUUUCAGGGCUUACAACUGAGAUUAGUGGCCGCUAAUGGCCGGUGCUAAUCAGCCCAAUUAAUCUUCACGUACCCAUUCUUUCACGUUGGGGCAAACCGGAUGAAAUCCUUACGCCGUAGGAAUUGUGUGUUUGUACACAUAUAUACUGGGUAGUGGGCUUGAUUAGCAACACACUAAUUUUCUUUAAAAGCUAAUCACAGGCAUGUGCCCACAGGAGAGUACUUGAUAGGCCAUUCAUGAGUUAUAUACGGUUAAACCAACUUGGAUUAAUCAAACCUUGCACUAUUUAAUCAGCCUUUUGCAAUCCACAAUAUUUCAUAAUAUAGCUUAUAUUUGGCAAAUAUACUACGCACGGAUCACAUUUCCUUUUCUUAUAAGAAUUUAUAAUAUUAUGCUAAUGCCAAAAUUUCAUCAUACAACAACCUAGUAUCUAAGUGGUGUUAGCUAGUGUCAACAAACAUUUCUGACGCUGUUGCCGGGGAGUCAUAAGGGGAAUAGAAGGGAAACACAUAGGAACGGUAAGGAAAGUUAGGAAAUCAGUCAAGGUUAUUCACAUAAAAUAUUAGACUAGACUAUAGAGAAAUAAUUGCAUAAAAUAGCUACUAAGUGAGAAAUCAUAACAAGGCACCUCUGCUUUGGCAGGUUCACCCUGUUGUUUUUCUAUGUUUAUAUUUGUAUACAGGGUAUAUCAGGAUUGACUUUGGGUACAUUCAACUCUUCAUCAUCAGAACUAAAGCAAUCAAGAGAAGAAGAAGCUAGCUACCAAUUGCUGAAGCUAUGGCACAGAAGACCCUACAAGAAUUCUCUACUCCAAGUCUUGAGAACAUUCCAACUGGCCCAAGAUUUGCAGUAGAAGAAGGAGCACCCGAGUUUGAGCUCAAGUCAAGCCUCAUCAAUUUGGUGCAAGCUACACAAUUCAGUGGAAAGGCACACGAAGAUGCUAGUGCACACUUACAGAAUCUCUUAGUGAUUGGGAGCACAAUCCACAUCAAUGGAGUCGACAAAGACGUCAUACUACUUCGACUUUUUCCAUUCUCACUAGAAGGAAAAGCGAGGAAGUGGUUCUACACUCAUCAAGAUAACAUCAACAACUGGACGAACUUGUCAGAUGCCUUUCUAUCAAAGUUUUUCCCUAUAGGCAAAACAACUGCAUUAAGAGGAAAUAUUGUCAAUUUCCAACAGCAGAAGACAGAAACUAUUUCAGAAGCAUGGGAGCGUUUUCAAGGAUACAUAUCAGAUUGUCCUCACCAUGGAAUGGUUACAUGGUUACUUAUGCAGACCUUCUACCAUGGAUUAACCCAGAAGGCUCGUGAGUGCCUAGAUGCAUCUGCUAAAGGAUCAUUCUUGGAGCUUACAAUUGGAAAAGUAGAGAUACUUUUGGAUAAGAUAGCAGAAAACCAAAGUUGGUUCCAAGAUAAAGCUCAACAAUGUCAUCAAACUGAAGAAAUACUAGAAGAAAUAAAUGCACUAUCAACCAAGAUGGAAAAUUUGCUCCAUUGGAUUGACCAGAGGGCCAAGUUCAAAGAAGAUCAAAGGGCCAUUGAGACAGCAUAUAAAUAUCAACCUACUUCGAGUCAACCCAAUAGCAAAGGUAUGAAUCCAGGUAAUACUUUUAAGCAACUUUCAUUAAAAGAGAUAAUUGCUCAACAAACAAAAACUAAUGAUGAAGUUAAACAAAGGCUAGACACAAAUGAAUCAUCUCUAAAAGAUAUACACAAUAAAAUGGAUUUUCUAUUAACUGCCUUUGAUGAGCAAAACACUCUUAAUAAAAGGGUAGAGCUUAAAUUAAUAAAGUUAGUUGAUGCACUGCCUGUUGCUACUAACAUUGAGCAGGUAAAGAACAUAACUACUAGAGGAGGCAAAGCCACCAAGGAUCCCCCAUACCCAAAAGAGAAACAGAGAACAUCAGCACCAGUGCAACCAGCAGUGAUAGAAGAAGAAAGCCCAGUUGAAGCUGAAGAUCUGCUACAACCACCAAGAACUGUAGAGAUGAGGAAAGAUUUUUACAACACCAACUAUUUGCCAUUUCCUAGAAGAACCAGAGGACUGCAGUCAGAUGAGCAGUUUGGUAAGUUUGUAGAGGUCAUUCAGAAAUUAUAUGUCAACAUACCUCUACUUGAUGCCAUACAGGUACCUAUAUAUGCAAAGUACAUCAGAGAUAUUCUUAACAAGAAGAGACCACUGCCCACCACUGAGGUUAUCAAGCUGACAGAAGAAUGUAGUGCGGCCAUCCUCAAUAAACCACCAAAGAAGAAGGAAGAUCCUGGAUGUCCCACUAUUGAUUGCUCGAUCGGAAACCAACACUUCAAUAAUGCACUUUGUGAUCUCGGAGCAAGUGUCAGUGUGAUGCCAGCAUCAAUCUACAAAAAGCUUGAGCAUACGACCAUAGAACCAACAUCAAUGUGCCUAUAACUAGCAGAUCAAUCGGUUCGACACCAGUUGGGCAUCGCCGAAAACAUUCUAGUCAAGAUUAGAGAUUUCCUGGUGCCAGUAGACUUCGUGGUACUAGACAUGAGUCCUGACUCAAAAGUAUCCAUCAUCCUGGGAAGGCCAUUUCUGAGCACUGCCAAUGCUCACAUUGAUGUCGGAAAAGGAGAAAUCAAGUUCAACAUAAACGGAAAAGAAGAACACUUCACAUUCAAACCCAGACCAGAGAGAGACCCUACAGUGAAGGAAGUUCCUGAAGAAGAACCACUGGAGAUACCAUCUCUGGAGGAAGGUAAUUCAGAAGAUUAAAAGAUUUGGAGAUCCAGCUUGGGGGACCUAAAAAUCCCAAACCCUCACCGGGAGGUAAAUCGGUAUUUAUCUACAUCAUUAAUUCUUGCAUUAGUCAUAUUUAUUCAUAGCAUUAUUAUAAUAACAAUAAGGCCCAUAUGAAUAAUAUUUAUGGUGUGUAACAACCCAUAUUUAUUAAUUAUUGUGGAGGCACAAAAAUAUUUUUCAUUAUCGUUUCAAAUAACUUUUGAUUCUAAUAGAUUUUCCUGCAUUAUAUUUAAUUAUAGCAACCUUCUAGAAGCAUGACCCACACUCCUUGGGUCCCACAUGUCAUACACCAUACCUCACAUACAUCCCAUCACAUUAUUUGAUCCACCAACAUAUCUCCACUCACCAGCACUUUUCCACCGACCAACCACCACCCAUGAUCCAUUAUUUUGCGUAAGAGUUAAGCAAAGAAGGGAGUGGAGAAAGGGCAGCCAGAAUGGGCACUACAAGUGGGCGCCCGCCCACCUACCAAGGGCGCCCGCCAUGUCCCCUCUUCCUCCUAUAAAUACCCUCCUCCUGCCUCCAACUUCUUCACACAAACAUUCCAGAAAACCACACAAGUUUCAGUUUCCAGAGAAGGAGCUCUUGUAGUGAAGUAAAGAGAGAGUAGAUAGGAAGAGAAGAGUGGGAAAGAAGCUGGUAGUUUUUGAGUGAGAGAGUGAGCUUCACCUAGUAAGUAAUGAUCCCGUUGUCCAAGCGGAAGUAAAAGUUGUUUAGGGGGAGGUGCUGCCAACAUAAAAACUUGUCUUGAACGACUAACCCCUGGACUACUGACAUCCCGGACAGCUGACCACUAACAUUUUCUCUCACAUUUUCCACUAGUUGUGUUUUUGCCAACUUUUGAUUACACGAUGUUUAAGAACAUGAAGAACGCAGGGAAGGCCCUCAAGAACAUAGGUACAAGGAGUUCAUCCCGACACUCCUCACACCCAUCAGAGAUGAGCGUCGACCCAAUGCCUACACAAGCUCUGUCAUCUUCAUCUAAUCAGCAAGUCAAGGUCCUUCUCAAGAUAGGAGACCUUGGGCUGAAGACCCGCAGGGAAAAAGAAGUCUACCAGCAACUUAAGAACAAAGAUUUCAUUCACACCCCUACUCUUGAUCCAAUCUUGCUACAAGAAACAGGUAUGGAUACUGAAUUCGACUUAAUUUUCCAGAUGUUAGGUUGGACAAAUUUUUGGAACAUAACUGAGCUGGGUUCUCGUCUUCUCACCCUUGAAUUUCUUUGCACUUUACAAUAUUAUGAGGGGGGAAUUGCUUUUCGGAUGUUUAAACAGGACAUUAUGUUGUCUUGGAGAGAACUAAGCGACCAUCUCGGUUUCUCUUUAAGAUGCAUCUUGAACAUUGAUUCUGACUUACCCAAUUUUGAGAGACACCAGUUCUGGAAAGAGAUAUCUAGAGAUGAGUUUUAUAGUCAAGCCCGAACCAGUGACAUGGAACACCCCACUCUUAGGAUGUUCCACAAAUGGCUUGGGUACAAUCUUUUCUAUCGUGAUGAUAUUAGAAAAGUAAGAGUAGGAGAUUUACAACUUCUAUAUGCUGCUAUUAAUAAAGUACCCACUUCACCUGUUACACUUUUAGUUUCUCAUUGGCUUAGUAUACCUAGUCUUCAGGGACCAGUAGGAUGUACUUCACUUAUCACUCAUCUAGCCUCUAAUCUUCAUUUACUAGAAAAUUCAUCAUUAGAAUUCAUAGAUGAGUUAAUAAUUUAUCAUGGCUAUGACACAUUUAGACAAGCUCGGAUGUUAAAGAAAGAGGGAAACGUAAUGUAUAUGCUAUAUGAUGAUAAAGGCAAGAUUCGGUUACCUAACCCGAACCUUGGCCUCUAUGUUGUUCAAAAAUUUUUGAUUGAGAUUGCAGUAACACCGGUGAACCAGAGAGCUCCACAGCGAGUGGCAUCUGAAAGGAUGACCACCCAUCGAGAACGCACCUAGUAUGGAGCUGAUCCCGGACCAGAAGAAGCAGCGCACCUACAUUAUUGCGACUACAACCCCCGAGUCCUUCGAGACCCAUGGGUUCGACAUGCGCAACCACAAGAGCCAACACAGGAGACAUGGCCGGAGAGUCAAGAUCACCAGUGGACAAACCCACCUUUUUCACACGGGUAGGUACUCCACUGAUCCUUAUGGAGCUUCAGGAUCCAGACCGCCGUCCCAAUUCGAUGCAGGACGAUACUCCGACGCCUCCCACGCUUUCACGAAUGACUACUACCAAGAGGCCGACGCUUUCUUCACCCGUACCGACAACACCCUCCUAGACAUCCAGAAUACGCAAGCAGAACAUGGAAGACUCCUGGAACAGCAACAAAAAUGGAACCAGGACCACGCCACUGCAAUACAAGAGCUGAGACAAGAUACCACAACAAUGAACGACAACAUCACCACCAUGAUGCGAUUCUGGAAUAUUGAGUAAGACCGACAACAACAUCCAGCUUGGGGGAGUUCCUCCCCAAUUUAUCAAGUAAGUUCUUAUUUGCUCUUCUUAUUUAUUCUUUUCUGUUUUAGUAUCUUAAUUAUAUAAAAAAAACUUAGAAAACCCAAUAAAUAUUUUCUUGCUUUAAUUUACUGCAUUCUAUAAACAUGAAAACAAAAUAAAAAGAGUGUGUAGAUAAGUGUGCUUUAUUUUCCUGCUAAGUGUUAAUCUCUAGAAAAGAUAAAAAGACCAAAAAAGAUGCAUGAUGGAAAUGAUGAACAGUUGCUCUGUUUGCUUACUUUCAACUACCUAGCUUUUAUAUUAGAGUUCUUCUAGGAAUUACUAAAACUGAAAUUACUAUCUAUGGGAAUCAUCAUCAUUACUACCUUCUGCAUAAUCAGCUAGUGCUCUAUCUGCAAGCCUGCCAGACUUCCUCCUCCCAUCUCCACUUCCACUGCCAUUACCGCUGCCAGCUGCUCUUUUAGCUUCCAUUGUUCUUUUGUAGUACCUCAUGGCAAUGGGAUCAUUCUUGUGCUUAGCUCGUGGCUCAAUCCGUCCGUCUCUAGUCAUGAGCUCCCCCGUGAGAGUGGAGGAAAAGUUGGGCCUUCGAUUUCUUGCUGUAGAUCCUUGACUCUUGAUGCUUGGUGACUCCAAUCCACCUUCCUCCCUUCCUUUUCCACGGACAACUCACGAAAUCGCCAAGGUGAUAAGAGAAUUGGUAGUUGGGAGGGAGAGAGAAGGGAAUGAGGAGAGAACAGGUAUGAAGGGGUAUGCUUCUUCUUUAACCCCGUGAAUACCAGACGUGUCCGAGAUGGAGCCAGACGCGUCCGAGAUGCUCGAGCUCCAAACUGUUUGCUGUAUUUCUUAUUUUUCUUGAUCCAAGACCCCUUCUAUGUUAACACUGAGUCCAAACACACACACACACACACACACACACACAUAUAUAUAUAUAUAUAUAUAUAUAUAUAUAUAUAAAUUACUUAAUCCAAUCAUUUCUCAUCUCUUUUCUUCACAAUUUGUUCUCCGAAACAUUUCAAAUCUCUUUUUGAAAUUUCUUCAAGAAUUCUUUCCUCACUCUUAUGUCCAUGAGUCUCCUGUUGACUUAGAGGGGUAGAGAUAAAAGAGUGACUUAGGACUUGAGAGAAUCAUGCCGAGUGUGAUUAGGCAGUCAAUCAACCAAGGAGAACAAAAACCACACUUAGCAUGAUUAGGCCACAAAGACCCAGAACCAAUUGUUUUCACAAACCACACAGCUUACUCAUGCUAUUAAAAGAUUUUGAAAAGAUUCUAUCUUAAGUCAAUCAAAUGCACAUUCUAGCAUAAGGGCCUUACAUGCACUUACAAUGCUCAUAUGAAACCAUACCUUAGCCUUAAGCCCCUAUGAAUACCACUGAGUGUAAUUUGAAGUAUGGUCACGUGAAUUUCGGACACGCCCGAGAUAUUGUUGGACACGUCCGAGAUGUCCCACACCCCUGCAAUAAAAUCUUUUGGGAAGUAGAACCAGUCCUGGACCACUAUCAAAGGUUAAAUACUAAAGUACUUCUGGCCCAUGUCUUUUCAUGGGGUUUUCAUUAGAAAUUCCUGCCCCGAGAAUACCGGACACGUUCGGCCCAAUGUCGGACACGUCCGAGAUGCACAGGACAGAAACUAAUCAUUUUGUUUUCUAGCCAUUCCUUUUGCCUUUGAAUUGACCUACACAUAGGUGAAAAUAUUGCUCGACGAUGAAGAUGAAAAGAAUGAUAUGGCCAAUUAGUUUGCUUUGGGUCAACUCCAUAUCGAAGAUUGAUGAACAAGUUGAUAGGUUGAGCGUGUCAUAUGUAAAGACAUGGUAUGCUUUCUCAACCACCCCAAAGCCUUCAUCUUCACCAAGUACCUACAAUCACAGCUUAGGCACACUUUGGUACCCAACUCUUGUUGGGUCCUAUAGAGUUAGUUGCAAUAUGCUUAGGCACACAAGUGGCUCUAGUGCUAGCAUGUGGUGAAUACCUUGCUCGGCUAGUACUAUAUCCAUUUGUGGUCCUUCUAAGCUUAUCAUUGAAAACAUAUGCAUUUGGCUUGGGCAUGUUACCUUUGGGACAAUCAUAGCUUAGAUGUCCCUUUCUUCUACAAUUGUAGCAAAUGCGGCCGUUGUUGCUACAAUCCUUGUUUUGUUUGUUGUGGCACUCAUAUAUCAUGUGUCCAACCACAUUGCAUGCAUAGCAUCUUCUUGUUGCAACUUGAGCCUUGUUUCUUGUCUUCUUGAAAUCCUUGCAAGUAUUGCUCAAGUGGCUUACUUUGUUGCACUUGAUGCUAGCUUUAGGUUCAUCCAUCUUGAGUUGGUUUGCCAACUUGCUAGAGGCCUUUUUCUCGGCCACCUCACACUUGUUGUCCCAACUCUUGUUUGGACACAUAUCUCUCAUGUGCCCAUAUGCCCCGCAACCAUAGCAUAACCUUUUACCAUGUUUCUUGCUCUUGGUUGACAUCGCGCUUUGCUUGUGAUGUGGUUAGUUUGUUGGAUGUUGGAGGAAGCAAGAUUUGAACCCUUCUCAAGCUUCUUCACCAUGUUUUCACGGUUAUCUUGAGAAUGUUGUGCUUUCUCCUUACCCUUCAACCUAAUCACAUCUUUCUUCAAUUUUUCUACUUCUUCUUUGAGCCUAAUGUUUUCCAUAGGAUGAUGCUCAAUCAAAGAUUGGCUAGCUUGAGAAGCACACUCAUUAGCACAAGAAAUAUUUAAUUUAGAGGGAGUGCUAGUGAUUGAGUGAGUGUGAGGUUGAGAGGAUUUUACCACUGUAAUAACAACCUCUUGCGCUAUCUCAAGCAUAGCAUGUGAUUCUACUAGGCUUUCAUGUGAACAUUUGAGUUGCUCAUGCACAACUUGAAGAGUGUUGAAGUUGCAUGAAAUCUUGUCAAGCCUUUUCUUGAGCUCGGAGUUUUCCCUUUCUAGUUGAACAACACUAGAAAGAGCAUUAGUAACAAAAUCAUUCUCAAUUGACAAUUUUUCAUACCUCUCAUUCAUUUCCUUUAGCUCUUCAAGCUUGGAUAUGAGGGACUUGUCUUGACCAUGAAAUUUUUGCUCUUGUUCCUCAUUUGCUAGCUUCAUGAACAUGAGCUUGUCCUUGCUGCUAAGAUGAUCAAGAAAGUGACUAUCUUCAUUUUCACUUUCUCUUUGAUCAUCCUCUUGAGCGUUCUCUUGCUUGGUUUCUUUCUUCUUCUUCUUUUUCUUGCUCUUCUUGGCCAUGAGACACAAGUGAUGAGAGUCAUGGGAUUCUAUUGUUGACUCAUCACUUGGUCUCCACUGAGGUGCAUUAUUGUUGUAUUGAUCUGCUUGCUGUUCUGCUGCCACAGCCAUACCGGACACGUCCGGUAACAUGUCGGACACGUCCGGUAUGCGCUGUACUGCCAGCACAGCAGCAUCUGCCUUGAUCAGCUUUGGCUCUGCACUCUUGAGGUUGUUGGAUGUUUCUUCAUUGCAGUGAAGUAUGGUGGACAUAUUAUCCUUUGUUUUCCACACAUAGCACUCAUUGUCAUUGGGUUUUCCAUAUAACUCAUACAAUUUGACCCAAAUGACAUGAGCACUUGAUGGAAGAGUUUGUCCAUUGUAAAUUGCUUCAUCCUGAACCUCUACACUUAAUGUACUCAAAAUGACAUUAGUAGCUAGAGCAUUGAGUUGCACAUAUAUCUCUUCCCCUUUUGGAAUAUUCUUAUAACUAAACCAAUCAACUAUGGAAUGAGAUAUACUUGCAUCCACAAUCUGCUCUACAAGUGGAAUGAUAGUCCAAAAAGUAUUGAGUACAUGAAUUAACCAAGAUAGAAAGUUUGAACCAUCAUUUUGGAGAAGUAUGGGAUCCAUGUCAUUAGGCGUCAACAUCCUUUUCUCACAAGUGGUGAAGCUCGAUCGUGAGACCUUGCUCUGAUACCAAUUGAAAGGACCAAGGAUGCGCCUAGAGGGGGGUGAAUAGGCGUUUCUGAAAAUUUACAACUUAAAAUGCGGAAACGAUUAGAACUGGAGUUUUCCACGCAAAUGAAAAACUCCACACAAAUAUAUUUAGAGAAACAGAUGUAAACAAUAUCAAAUAAGUCUAACACCUGCACAACAGAGAUUAGAUCACACAAAGAAAUACUCUUGACAAAUCGCAAAUACCGGACGCGUCCGGUAUCAACUCGGACACGUCCGAGAUACACGAGUACACAACACCUAGCUGUUUCUGUUCUCCAGCUUCCCUUAAACCCACACACAGCUUAUGUGAUGGUGAAUAAAUAUAAGAGAUAUCCAACACAGAUAAUACAAUCUAUAUAUAUUCUGUUGUGUUGGCACAACUCAGCCACGUCCGGCUUGAUCUCAGACGUGUCCGGAAUUCACGAGCAGAGGAUGUUCAAUCCUUGUGCUGUGAAACUUCUUCCUCUACCUGCAAGAACCUUAAUCACAGUAUAUAUGAUACUAGAACUCUACAGUGUAGCUCACACAAUAGAUAAGGCUCAAAUUUCAAAUAAUGCAAAGGGGAGACACAAUAUUUGUUUUACCGAAGUUCAGUCUCCGUUGAGACCUAAUCUCCGUUGAGGGGGCUACGAGUAAGGCACUCGAUGACCUAGAGGCUACCACUAAGGUCACUCCAGCUCAAAGUUCCUCCCUAAAGGAUACCGCGAAGGUAACUCUAGCCGGAGUCUCUUCCAACUCCAACUCCAACUCCUCCUUCCACUAGGUGAUUUCUUCCUUUGCGGAGGUGAAAUCCGACUUGCACAAACAAUCCGAGGCAACCACAAACACUUGGGUGCUCUCCGGCGACGCCUAACCAUCUAGGACCGAAGAGUCCAAGAGUAACAAAUACAAAACAUGAGAUAGACAAUAUGCUCAAGUGCUCAAGAGAUGGCUUGCUCUCAAAACCGAAAAUCUUUCAACCCACAAGUUGGAUUUGUCAAUGUAGAUCAAACACUCACAAAGAGAGGGUUGAGUUGAGUUAGCAAAGCUCAGCAAUGUGUCACCAAACCAGUAGAAUUAGCAGCUCCAAAAGAAGAGGGCUGAGGGGUAUAUAAAGACAGUUUUGACAACUAGUCGUUAACUAGCCGUUGGCCAUACCGGAUGCGUCCGGUAUCAUACCGGACAUGUCCGAUAUGGUCGAGGCCAAAAGACUUACCCCUGUUAGCUUGCUACUCCCUACCACAGAGAAGCCUACGUCGAAACUCCCGACGUACGUCGGAACUUCCGACAUGUCAGCACUGCUGACGAGCGCCGGAAGUGCUGACGCGUGCCAGAACAGCUCCUUGGUCACCACAACUCAAAAAGUCAAAAUGCGUAACAGUACCCAUACCAGACACGUCCGGUAUGCAUGGCCUGUGCACAUUGAGUUCAGCUCUCAGGUUAGUUUCUCUAUGAUCUCACAUGGGUUGACUUGAGCACUAGAGAGUAUUAAUCUAUGAUCAUGAUGCAUCCCUCUUAAUAGUACGGCUUUCCUAUCAACUCAAGAUCAAAAGGUAAAUCAAGUUGAAACCUCUUGAGAAGCUUCCAUCAAACCAAAGCCUUUCUUUCAAUUCUUGAUAAGCUGAGGAUGCCAUCAUGUCAAACUUGUUUUCAUCUUGAGCCUAGCCAUCUUGAGCACAUGACUUGGUUUCAUUCAAUAGAUAGAUUUGACUCCAAAUGCACCAAGUCAUUUCCAUUAACUACUUCAAUAGUAGAUUUGAUCCUCCACAUCAACAUGACCCUUAGAGCUUGAUUAGUACCUCAACUGAAUGCAAGUAAUUCCUUCUUCACCUGAGCUAGGUUUUUCGGUCGUCAAGCCGUCGCUUGCUCUUCACCCUUGCUUAGUACCUCGAAGCCUUUCCUUGCUAUCUUCACCAUCUCAAGUCUUCAAGUCAUAUGUUGCUUUGAAUCAUCCAAUCAAUUUUAUACUUUUCAUUUUUUUGCUUUCAUAUGAGUGAUAGCUAUCUUCAUAAUAAAUGAGCCUUUUUCAAUAAUUCCAUUUGCUAGAUUGCUUCACACAACAAUACAUAAUUUUGGCUUUUGUAAACUUGGAUCAAAUACCUGUGAGAUAGAUUUUCCCUAUUUCACACUUAGCAAGAUCAUUAGUUUCUUUAAUCAUGGUUGUCAUUCAAUCAUCCAAAACACAUUAAGUGGCUAAAUGCACUUACAAUGGACUUGUUACCAAGGUUACAAGAUAAAUGAUGGGCAUUUGUAGAUCAGCUGUAUUUCUCAACUUUUCUACAUAGCAUUUGUUAAAACUAAAUAUAUGUUCCCAAAUAAAGUACCAUAAUUUUCAUAUAGAUUUUUUUUGCUAGUGGGGUAGGUUUGGUUUUUUAGUUUAUGAUUUAUUUUAGUUUUGUAAUUUUUUUCUAAAUGUCACCUUAGCGUUGGCACGGGCAAUAUACGAUAUCUAUAAUAGGAGUUAGCUCCUCUGAUCGCCGAGCUCUCCAGGUCGAGCCGUUGAUCCAUCCAUGGCUUCAACCCCAAUAGAAGCCCCCACUUUGCCAUCAUGUCGAUCUCCACCUGCCGCGCCCAGGAGCCUCUUAACAAUAGAAAGCAGACGGACGCCAUGCACUGAUCCGUAUUGAUGAAGCUCAGCUUCCUGUCCGGCGAUGCCACUGGCUGGCCGGGGACGAUGACGAUCUAGACCCUCUCAACGGGCAGGCGGCUGGCGGCCCUUGGGGAUGUCGUCGACUAUGCCCAUGGUGGUUGUGUCUAUGUUGUAGGUCAGGAUAUACUCGCCGACGUUGUCCUCAUUCAGCUAAUAGUAGCCGCCGCGGACGUGCAUAGAUCAGUGGACGACACCGACAACUAUGACCAUGGCGUCAUUGUCUCGGUUCAUGCACCACUAAGGACAUGGGUGGUCGUUGGUGGUCUUGACGGCCUCCAUUGGGCGUCGCUGCAGGCAUCAAGUCCGACAAUGACACGAUCUACAUCCUAAUGUGCACGGAUGUGUAGUCCUGGUUAUUACUGGCCAUGUCCUCGGCAAGGCUGAGCAACAUGAUAGAGCCGCGAUGUCGUCGGCGCGCGACAGUGAGCAAGGCGCAUGCAGUAGUCGAUGACACACCACCGCUGUCGUCGCUGCUGAUUAGCCUGGGGUAGGGAUCCUGUCCAAUGUCCAGCGAGAAGGGGAGGAAGGCACAAUUGUUUUGUUGGUCACAGGGUCGUACACGCACAGGUCCCACCUCCGCCCACAACGUUCACCUUGGUUUCAUACCUCAUGUGUGUGUAUAUGUGUAUAGUUAUACGGUAGUGCUAGCGCCCGGACGUUCGAUCCAGGCGCUAGUGUCCGGACGCCGCGUUUUACAUAUCGUGCCCCCACCCGCUCCGCAUCGAGAAAAAAAGAAGAAGAAAGUAGAGAUGGGAACAUGACUCCACCUGCCCUCGUACGGAGAAAAAAGGAACUGCUUCUGCUACCCAUGCAAGGAACCUGCCUCCGUCCCCCAACGUAUGGGAUCCACCAUCUCCAACCUCACCGGCCCCAGCACAUCUGUCUAUCUUUAGCUUGCCGCCAUAGCCCCUAGCCCCUACCACCCCAAACCUCGCUGGCCCUAGCACCUCUGCCUGUCCUUAGCUUGCCGCCAUAGCACCCAGCCCCCUUUCACCGCUUAACGCUACAACAAUAGGAUGAAGCGACUCAAACAUCAACAACACCGAACAAAACUGCUACAAUAAAUAAGUUAAAUCAGUUGAAACACCAUGAACAUCUUAUUAUAACAACACCAAAUAAACUGUUGCAACAAAUAAGUUGAACCAGUUAAACAUCGUGAAUAUGUUAUUGCAACCACCGAAUAAAUUAUUGCAACAACAUAAAACAACUACUACAAUAUGAGAUUGAAGUAACUGAAACGUACUUCAACAUCUCAAAAAAAGCAGUACUACUGCAACAUUGAGAUAAAAAAAGUUGAAACACAAAGAAACAUAUUAUUGCAACAAUAAAAGUACAACAACUGAAACAUCUCAAAUAGACUGUUGCAACACCGUAAAAUCUACUACGGACGCAAGAUACAGAAAAGAGGGGAGGGACAUGGGUUGGAGGCGCCGUCAGGGUGCAGAAUGAGUCGCCCUCCAUGGAUGGGAUGAGGGAUGGGCUGUCGUCACCUGCUAGGUGGAGACCACCACAUUGCUGGAUCUACGUUGUGCUCCAUGGAUCCACCAUAGGAAGGCCAACGCUCAUGGAUCCAUCAUAGAAAAACUGGUGCUCUAUGGAUCCACCACGGGAAGGCCACCAUGGCCGUCGUCGAGGUGGGGGACGACGCGCCAGGGUGGAGGAGGCCCGUCGGGCUAAGGAUGGGUAGAGGACGCCGCCUCCAUGGAUCCUCUACUGCGUGCUCGAGCUCCGGCUGAAGAGAGAGAUGGGGGAGCGCGGCGCACAUGUUAAUGUCUUCUGAGCGGGUUGGGUAGAGGAAGACUGCGGUUGAUUUUUGAGGAGGAGAGAGAGAGGAUGAGAAAGCAAGUAGUAAAAGGCAGAGAUAUUUUGAUAUGGGUGGAGGAGAAGAGCCACAUAUAGAUAGGAGCGAGCGGUGAGGGAUCUGGGUGAGCUGGCGCCAUGUCCGGAAUCGGCCGAAUGUCUGUGUCAAAGUAUUACCGAUAGUUAUAUGUAUCACGAGGCGGCUCACACGGCUCAGGGAAAUGUGAUGGGCUUAGAACUGCACCCGUUCAGCACAUCGUUCAGCACAUCGAUGGAAUGGAGCCGUACUCUUUUAAGACUAGCCUGGUCUCUCCUUGCCCACAUGUUCAAUCUCUCCCCAAGCUCCAACAGAGUUCCGUAAUCAUGCUUCUAAUAAUGAUGCAAGCGGGCCGCUCUAUAGAGUGCCUGCGGGCCACCGCAUCAUCGGCCCUAAUUUUUUUACUACACCUGCAGAGUCUGCUAAUGCCCACACUAGUUCCUUCAACGUUCUGUUGGGCUUUGCGGCAAAACAAGCAGACAUCUGCAGGUGUCUGCAUGUAUCUUCCAGUUUUUUUGCUACAAACAACGAGAGAGAUGCAUGCUGGUAGCUAGCAGGUGCCAUGGCAGGCGCCUCCAAAUUACGGCACGACGCACCAAUCUUAUCUUACCAUGGGGGCACGACGCCGACGAGCGAUGGCAACCUGAAGGUGCGGGCGUCAGAUGGAUCUGGGUUGUGUUGCCCUCCUGCUACAGAAUGGGCCGGGCUUGGGGCCGAGAGGAGUUGGAUGGGGAGCCAACAUCGGGCAUUGGGGCGGACUGGAGACGUCCUCCUAGAGGUAGGGUGGCGGCCAUGGUGGCUGGUGGCGCCGACAAAAACAAGAAAAUUCAGAUUAGAAGAAUAAGAAGGGAGAAAGAGGACGUGCAGUUGAGUGGUUCUCACUGAAGCAGUUGACUGACGCUUCCCUAGCGUCGCCGCUACGGACGUGGCGCUCGAGCAGAGUCUGCUCGUGCGGCAGAUGCGGCGCCGGUGCUCCCAUGGAUGAAGGCAACAGCCUUACGUGCUAAUGCAGGUGUCUGUUUUAGUCUCUUGAACUUUUGCACGUUUGGCUGUUUAGGCCCGCGUCACUUGAAGUAGGCCUGCAGUGUCCAUAAGGCCUAUUUUUGUGGAGGACUGAGUUGGCUGGCAGGACGGUCCACAUCUGCUUGCAUCUUUAGCUUAUAAAUAUGAUAUAAUUAGCAAGGGAGAUGAGACCAAAAAAUUUCAAGACAAAAAAGCUGAAAUUUUGCCUCUUUAGUAUUAGGUAUAGAUUUUAUAUCUUUUCUUAUGUGUUAUUUGACUCUAAUUAACUAAUUCACUAUUUUUAUUUUUUACACUUCAAGAUACAUGUGAUGUUCACAUAAUAUACAUAUGAUGUUUUAUGCUAUUUUUGUGUGUUCGUGGGUACAAAUGUGAUAUUCUACGAUGCUUUUGUGAUGUUCAGUAUACACCGAUGUUCUAGGAUAUAUUUUAUAAUGUUCACUAGCAUUUUUUCUUCUUUUUAUUUGACUCUAAUUAAUUACUUUGCUAAUUUUAUUGUUUUAUUUUGUAUUUCAUGAUAUUUUGUGAUGUUCACGUAGUAUGCAUAUGAUAUUUUAUAUUAUAUUUUGUGAUGUUCAAUGAUUAUCUUUAACUACAUGUUCAUCAUGAGAUAAAUGUGGUUAAAAAAUCACCUUAAAAAGAUAUUUUUCUCAUAGGUUCCUAUUUAAUUUUCACCUAAAUCCACUAUAGAAUCAAUUCUCGCUUGCUCCGUCACUAGAAUCAACUACAAUCACACUUUCAAGGAAUCAAGGAGUUAGAGUUAAGAAUCGAGAAGUGAAGCUCUAACAAACAGACUUAGAUAAAAUGCCUCGUAAAACCAUAUUCGGCUAUUAUGGGUCCAGAAUCACCUCCAACAAAUUGGCAAAGCCCAUUUCCAUAUUAUCUGAUCUCACAUUAGAAAGCCAAAAUUAAAAUAAACUUAUAUUAUCUGAUCCACCUAUUUCUUUUAAUCGAUUAUUUAAUUAAGACAAAGACUUACCACGGAUAAUCCAUUCUACAUACCUUACCGUACUUAUUUGUAUUGAAUAAAAAUUUUACCCAUACUCUAUCUAAGGCCUUGUUUAGUUGGAGAGUAAAAUAUUUUUGGUGUCACACAUCAGAUGUUUCGUAGGAUGUCAGAAGAGGUAUUCGGAUACUAAUAAAAAAACUAAUUACAUAACUUGUCCGGAAACUGCGAGACUAACUUAUUAAACCUAAUUAAUCUAUCAUUAGCAUAUGUAGGUUACUGUAGCACUUAAGGCUAAUCAUAGAUUAAUUAGACUUAAAAGUUUCGUCUCGUGAACUAUGUAAUUAGUUUAUUUUUUUAUCUAUAUUUGAUAUAUGUCUAAAUUUUUUAUGGAAUGAGUGAAAACUUUUUAGGUGAGGAAGUAAACAAGGCCUAAAUAAGAUGGGUAAGAGCCGAUUGAAUGGGUUGCAAGUCUACUAUUGAUCGAGAAAAGCUUACAUACGAAAGAAAAGUAGCAUUCCGGUUUCACAUUGUUUAAACUACUUCAGUUACUGCUGUAACCUUGCAAGCUGAUUGAACACGAUUGAUACAUACUGCAUCUGCAUCGCCAGAGAAUGAGCAUAGCCACACGCCCGAUCGACCUUUACUUGACCAAGGUAGAGGACCUGUAACAAAUACCAUGAGGCAUAUGAUUAUAUUCAUGGUCACUUCGUCGUCAGAUCCUGUAGUCUGUAGGCGAAUCAAAUGACUCAUUGGGACAGUUGUUGGAAACAGACGAUCUAACUGGUCGGCGAGAGGACGAAGACGGACAAUUUCAACGGACUUUAGCGAAGGGGAUGCAAGCGAAAAUAGAAGUGAACGGAUCUCCAUGAAACACACGCCACAUGCGCACAAAACAAACAAAGAUUGAAACCGUUCCCCAGUUUCUGAAGGAAAGUAAUGCUGGUAAGAAGACCGAAAGAUCCGGGAUCAACAACGGAGGCAGAAGCAUGACAUCCGGAUCGGAGAAGUGCAAACCUCCAUUGGGAAUAGCCAUGGCGUGGUGGUGAUCGAUCUCCUGCUUGCAUGCCUCAUGAACAUGUUUGCUGAUGGUCAUCUAACCAUGCACACAGCAUGCAUGACCAUGAUGGGUUCAUGGCAUCACACUCGGUGCCAUAAUAAUCCAUGCACCCCCAUCGUCGAUGGAAGCAUGGUUAAAUGACCACCAACAAAACAGGUUCGGAGCUGCAUUAGGUAGAUAGCCACCCUCACGCGGUCACGCCCUCACCAUUAGCAAGGAACAAAUGGAAUGGUACCUGGGGAGACAGCAGGAAGCUGCUGCUUAGAGAGAGAAGCAAGAAGGCGUUGCUGUCUGCGCCUAUCUGAUCAGAGGUGGAAGACGCGAGACUGAGGAUAUAUGCUGCGGAUGAUGCCAGCGGAGUGAGAGCAUAUUCCCCGGGAAUAAACCAUCCAACAAUGAUAGAGGGGCCGCCGAGCUGUGUGACGGGCAACACCUUCCUUCUUCAAUUCUCCUCCUGCAGAUUAGAUUAGAUGGGCCAGCACGCAAACAUCAGUAACUCGUCUAGAAAACAAAAUAAAACUAAGAGCGCCCCGUGUGUUGAUGUAGGAGUGGUGGAUUAUUGGAUUAUGUAGUACGAUGACAUGGACUUUACAAAUUUAGUUGAAUUUAAAAUUAUUUGCAUUUUUUUAAUGGAGAGAUCAAUUAUAAUGUUUCUUGAUUUAGAAAACUAGGAACAUAUCCCACACGUUGUUGCGGGAAUUGCGGAUUAAUGGAUUACAUAGUAUGAUAAUAUAGUACGAUAAUAUUGACUAUAUUUAUUUGUCUUGCUGAUGAGGACAUUAUAGUUGUCAUGUAUGCUAUUGGAUUUUAAUUGUAUAUAUGGUAGUACAUUGCAUGUCGAGAUAAAUAGUUAUUGAGAUUUUACUUAGUGGAUUUUAAUUAAAUAUUGUAGCGUAUUGUUUAGGUGGAUAGCUUGCAUGUUUAGAGAAAUAGUUAGUGGGAUUUAAGAGUUAUAGAUUCAAGCCAGUAGCAGCAGUACUAGGGUCGACGGACAUGUUUUUUUAACUGUUGACCACGAUGGAGAGAUUUAAUUGGGGAUAGCAAACACUUUUUUUUUUGUUUAGCAGACGUUGUUUUUUUCCAAAUGAGUUUAGCAAUCGUCGUUGGUAAGGACUGUUUGUUUCUUUUGCUGCUGGCUUAAGUCAAAAGCAAAACCAAAUAGCAACUAUUGAAAUUGUCUCCUAAUAAAGAAAUAAAAGUUGAAAGUCAAAAGUAGGUUUAGAUGUGCUUUUGCUAGCUGUUUGUGAGAUGCUACUACAAGGGGUAUUACAUAAGUUAAAAGUAGCUCUAGAUGAGGUUUUGCUAGCUCUUUGUGAGAUGCUACUACGAGGGGUAUUACAUAUAUUAGACAUGUGUUUGUUCAAGUAAUUUGGGAAGACAUUUUUAAGGCUUUUUCAAAAGCUUCUGUUUGCAUUAACCUACAAAAGCCAGCUUUUCAAUGAAAAGCAAAAGGUCAAACAAAUAUCUCUGAAUCAUCUCACUAAACUCUUCACAAAGUUCUUGAUUUGUUGAUCCAAAGGUUAUGUCAUCUACAUAUACUUUGCACAAACAAAUCUUUAUAAUUAUUCUGUCGAAGAGGGUAGUGUCCAUCUUGCCCAUCUUAAAACCCUUACAGAGUAGAAAAUCACUCGACCUCUCAUAUCAUGCUCUAGAUGCUUCCUUCAAUCUAUACAAUACCUUCCUUAAGCUUGUACAUACGGUUAGGUCUUUUGGUAUCUUUAAAUCCUGGUGGUUGCUCAACAUACUCUAACUCAUUGACCUUGCUAAUGAAGAAAGCACUCUUCACAUCUAUUUGAUAUAACUUGAUAUAUGAGAGAAUCAUACGCAAGCAAAAUUCUUAUAUCUAUCAUCAAGCCUUGCCAUGAGUGCAUAAGUUUCUCCAAAAUCCAACCCCUUCAACUUGAUUGUAUCCUUGUGCAACCAACCUUCCUUUGUUCCUCACUACCACACCAUCUUAAUUUUGCUUGUUCGAGAAUACCCACUUAGUUCCAAUGAUAUUGUGGUUCUUAAGUCUCCAUUAGUUCCCAAACUUGAUUUCAAGUGGAGUUGUUGAGUUAUUCAUGCAUAGAAUUCACCCGAUGCGGAUCCCUCAAUGCUUCGUCAAUCUUUAUAGGCUCAACUAAGGACACAAAAAAAUAGUAUUAACAAAAUGAUCAAGUCUUGAUCUAGUUUGAACACCACUUCUUAUAUCACCCACUUUUUGAUCCAUAGGAUGGUCUUUCGCAAUUUCUUGAUUCAAUAAAGGAUGAAUCACUUGAUCACUUGAGCUUGAUGGUUGUGCACUUGAUGGUUGAACAAUUGGACUUAGACUUGGCAUAUGAGAAGUGUGGAAAGUGGUUGAGAGCAAUGCGGCUAGAGUGCAUCCCAAUGUGGUGACUCAUAGCUUCGGCGACGAAGAUGUAGGAUUCAAGUGGGGAUCUAAACCCCUGGAAACGCACCAUUGUGUCUUCCAUUUGGUUUGCCUCAUAUUUACUUGUACAUUUACAUUGAAAUAUAUUGUGUUUAUGCUUGUGUCUACUUGAUUCUCUAUGUCUUUGGCUAGAGGGGCCGUGUGAACGAAUCAAAGGAACUCAUUGGGACGCCAUAAACCAUGUUUAGUUUGACGUGAAAGAGGCGACAAAGCUCUAAUAGUUUUUUUCUAUAGGUUUAUGUUAGGGGUACUGGCUAUCAGGCUGUCCAAAACCGCUCCAUGAUCGAACGUUAUAUAUCAAGUGUUGUUGGUCAGAUUCCAUGGUUAGCAGUUUAGACGGUGAUGUAGUUUUAUUAAACUACGACCCAACGUGACAGGAGCGGGCCAAGCCCGGUACAUGUUGUCGGGCUAUGUAGCCAAAGCACGAUGGUAACUAGGCCAUCCUGAAAAUCGUUCUUUGCCGAGGGCCUGAGGCUUUGCCGAGGGCCAAAUUUCGAGUACUUGGCAAAGACCUUCUUUGCCGAGGGCCGCCAACUGAGGCCCUCGGCAAAGAAAAGCCCUCGGCAAGCCCUCGGCAAAGAAAGACCCUCGGCAAAGAAUUUCUUUGCCGAGGGCCGCGGCCCUCGGCAAAGACGCCCUCGGCAAUUUUAGUGUGCAGAGUAACGGCAGCCGAGCUCCGUCAUCCUUUGCCGAGGGCCACCCGUCAGGCUCUCGGCAAAGGUUUUUAAUUUUUUUUUUACAAAAUUCUUUGCCGAGGGCCAAGCUUAGCCCUCGGCAAAGAUUUUUUUUUGAUUUUUGAGUCUAAUUUUUUUGGGGCACAAAUCACAUUAUUUUAAACACAAUUUUAAAAAUUGGCACAAAUUUCACUUUUAUAUAUAUAUUUUUUGAAUUUAUUUCAAUUCGUCGUAAUUUUUCCGCUGUUAUAAAUUUGAACUACAGGUGCAUGAUAUAAUUAACUGUAGUCUUUCAAAAAGUGGUAUUCAUGUUAUUUGAUGUGUGUGCACAAACUGGAAUCAAAUUCCGCGCAUCUUUUACGUGUGACAUGAUUAGCCACUUCUCAGAAAAUUGAUUUAAAAUUAUAUUAAAUCUAUACGAGGUCUAAAAAUCACGAAACUUGACGAUGUUUCAUAUUAACUCAUGUGUAGGCUAUGGUAAAAAGUUCAAUCGUUUUCGAGUAAGUUUCGACGUCAGAUGUCCAAAACUCAGACAUCUCCACAUGUGAUCACUUGUGUAAACAUGUGGAGAUGUGUGGGUUUUGGACAUCUGACGUCGCAACUUACUCGAAAACGAUUGAAUUUUUUACCAUAGCCUACCUAUGUGUCAAUAUGAAACCUCGUCAAGUUUCAUAAUUUUUAGACCUCGUAUAGAUUUAAUAUAAUUUUAAAUCAAUUUUCUAAGAAGUGGCUAAUCAUGUCAUACGUAAAAGAUGCGCGGAAUUUGAUUCCAGUUUGUGCGUAGGGACUCCACACGCAUCAAAUAACAUGAAUAACAUUUUUUGAAAGACUACAGUUAAUUAUAUCAUGCAUCUGUAGUUCUAAUUUAUAACAGCGGGAAAAUUACGACGAAUUGAAAUAAAUUCAAGAAAUAUAUAAAAAAGUGAAAUUUGUGCCAAUUUUUUAAAUUGUGUUUAAAAUAAUGUGAUUUGUGCCCACAAAAAAUUGGACUCAAAAAUCAAAAAAAAACUUUGCCGAUUCAGUAAAGGAGGGUCUUUGCCGAGGGCCAGUAUCUAGGCCCCUCGGCAAAGGGCAAAACCCUAACUACCCGCGCGCUGCCUGGGCCAAGGCCCAAAUAACCAUUUCCUCGCUGCCUUUCUCGGACGCCGCCGCCGCAACCCCACCCGCGCGCCGCACGGCCGCCUGCCGCCGCCGCGCGCCCGCACGGCCGCCCUCCGCCGCCGCGCGCGCCCCCUGGCCGCGCGCACGCCCGCCCGCCGCGCGCGCCCCUGGCAGCGCGCCCGCUCGCCCGCCGCCGGAAAAAUUUCCCCUGUUCGUUUCAUUUCUGGCGGCGGCGCUCUUGAUCCCGGCGGCUGGAGGUGCGGCGCUCCUGCUCCCGGCGGUGCGGUGCUCCUACUGGCUGGCACUGGCACGUCUCGGCCUCGGGCUUGCGCUUCACGGGACAUGGCUUUGCGCGCGCAACCGCGGCGAGCAGAGGGCGGCCGCGGCAAGCCACGGGAUGACGAACGUCCGCAGCGAGUCGGCCAGCUACCGGCGGCGUGACGCUCCUGCUCCCAGCAAGCUCCACGUCCGCAGCGGGCGUGGAUCCGGCGGGCACGGAUCCGGCGUGCGGCAGGCGUGCAGCGGGCGUCCGUGAGCGCGGAUCCAGGUCCCAAGUGUUCAGCACUUCCGGCUUCCCUCCGUCCUGCUGUUCUUCAAGGCCAAACAUGGCGGCAGGUGAGCAGCACUAAGGCAUCUCUGAACUCUGAUUAGUACCAUUUAGUAUUUGAAAGGGUGUCGGUGGCUAGGCAGGCCAUGCUUCGCUGUCGCUGUAGUUCUAGUGUUGCUCCGAUUCGCAAGUUGUGCCUGGGUGGCUGGGUGGGGAAAAAAUGCUAGCUUCUGUAGGACUGGAGGAAGCAUGUUAUGACUAGGACUCACAAUAUGCUCCUUUUGACUAUGCUCUAGUCUGUACAGGUACAAACCAUUGCAGUUCUUUUGCUUUCAGUCUAGAAUUUCAGUUUGUUCUGUAAGAGACUGUAAAUAAUUCACUUACUGAAAGAGACUGUAAAUAAUUCACUUACUGAAGCUCGGGGGUAAAUAAAAUCAUACUGAACGUCUGUUCAUGCUGACCCGUUGGGCUUGUGGAAGAGAACGCUGGCUUGAAUAUUGCCUCGCUGCUCUGGUCUUUUGGUCUGGUUUGGGUUUGGGCUGAAUAGUACUAUACUUUUAAUAUGGAUCAAGUGUUAUAAAAAGUGGUAUAUUUAUAUUUUUAUGAAAGUAUUUUUAUGUGAAAUGCAGAAAAUACGAAAAUUUAUUAUUGGCAGGCAAGCAGUAUACCUUAAUGAGGAUUUCAGCUCUGCAUAAACAAAUCGUGAACAAUUUGGAAUGAAACUGCACUGCAUGUGGUGCUCGCAUACAUAAACUCUGUACCAAAUAUGAUACUGAAUUAAAUAGUAAUAUAUGUAAUAAGUCUGAUCUAUUGCUUUGUAGUUUGUAGUUUGUACACUGAUGCCUAGGAUGCAUCUCUGAUACGAAUAGUUUAGGAUUAUUUCUGUUACGAAUCUAAUACCUUACUGCAAUUUUUUUUAUGCAUCACCGGUGCUAAUAAAAAAAUUCUAUAGUUCAUAUGUCCCCGUGGUCAUAAAAAGCUUCCUAUUGAGAAUCUGAUGUUGUUUAGAUUAGUGGUAAUUGGAUUAAGGAACUUGCUCUGUUAUUUCACCUAUACAUACUUGGAUGAUUCCACUUUACUGUGAUCAAUGGUUUUAUAUUGAGUUCAUGAAACUGGUGCCUUCCAAAAUAUCUUCCUGAAGAAUAUCUUGAUAUUGUAUGGUUUCUUGGUUUGUAGAUGCAAUCCAGUGUGUGCUUGAUACAUGGCAUCUACCAGGCCUUUUCUAUGUGUUGAGAUCCUAAUGCACAGUCAAAAUUGGAACUUGAGUUUUCAAUGUAUGGGAAAUGAGCAACAUAACAUGUGUACAGUGCAUUAUUUGUAUUUUCUUUGCUCACUUUUCAAUUCCUAAUGGAUCAUUGCACAUAUUAUUUAUUUUUUGUUGACUCACAAUCUUUGACCUUAUUUCCAAGCAAUUGUCAUGGCACUUGUGAUUUAUGCAAACGUAAAUUUAUAAACCACAGCACAACAUAUAUAUAAUUUACGUUUGCCCAGAUUAUAAGUUGCAUAAAUCACAGCACUUGUCAUGGCAUUUGAUUAUUGUAAUUUUUUUUUGCCAAAGAAGGGUCCUUUGCCGAGGGCCCUAGCAAUAGCCCUCGGCAAAGAUUUUUUUUAGAAAAUUCCUGAACAUUACUUUGCCGAGGGCUAGGGAUGAGGCCCUCAGCAAAGGUUUUUUUAAAAAAUAAAAAAUAAAAAAUCUUUGCCGAGGGCUGACCCUCGGCAAACGUUUUUUUAAAAAAAUAAAAAAAAUCUUUGCCGAGGGCCGGCCCUCGGCAAAGAAACCGCCAACGGUGCCGGCGCCGUGACGGCUGCUUUUCUUUGCCGAGUGCCCGAUAAAGGGCCCUCGGCAAAGACCCCCUUUGCCGUCUAAAAAUUUCCCAAGAGUCUUUUGCCAAGAGCCGCCCUCGGCAAAGCCUUUGCCGAGAGCUUUUGGGCCUUUGCCGAGGGCUUUCCCUCGGCAAAGAGGCAGUUUCCAGUAGUGCCUGUGGUUAGGCCGGCCCAAAAAGAUCGGACCUCAGUGUCCGGUAUAACGUGCCUUGCGCUAUACAACUAAGCUCUAAUAUAAUCCAUCCAAUGUAUUUAGUAUUACUACAAUAGGACCCUCACCAGGCCGACGUGUUCAUCCAAGUCCGUUGCCAUAUAAAACCUCGCGCUGGCCCUGCUAUGGUGGACGCCCGCCCUGCCCGCCCACGGCAUACGUGAUCCCAACCAAUCCCCACUGCCCACUCUACUCCGACACCCCACCACAUAAACGGCAUCAUUGCCCAUUGAGCUGCGCCGCGCCCCGCCUCCUGCUCGUACGUACCGUCCUCUCCUCUCUCUCUUGUGAAGGAGCGAGACUGAUGGCGGUCGCCCACGCCUUCCACCAUGAUUCCCGCGCCAUCAGGUCCGUCGCCCUCUCUCUCUCUCUCUCUCUCUCUUUCUGCAGUCUCCAUCCGUGCGCGGCAUGCAUGACCAACCCCGUCCUCGCGACCGCGCCCAUGCGUCCUGCGCUCCCCUCCUUCCCCAACUCCCUCAUUUAUCCGUCCGUUUUCCUGCUCCGUCGGUUCAUCUUCAUCACCAGUGCAUUUGUGUGCGUCUCGUGUCUCACAACAGGCCAGCGCUGGAGAACGCGACGACCACCGCAUCGGCCGUCCUCGGCGACCACGACACCGCCGCCGGCGGCUGCGGCCACCUGCUGCUGCUGCCCGGCGUAGUGCAGCGCCAGGCUGCGGCAGUGGCUGGCCACACGGCGUUCAGCGACCCACGCAGCGAGCUCACCUGCAACAACAACAACAAGUACGACGCCACUUGGUCCGUCGUCGUGCCCAGGAAGCGCGCGCGGAUCGGCGGCGCGGUGGACGCCGCCGGCCUGGUCAUGGAGGGGCACCGCCACCGCGCGCUGCUGCCCGUGCCGCAGGCGUUCGCGCCCGGCGGAGGCGGAGAGGGUGCCCUGGGCGGCGGCAGCAGCAGCAGCAGCAGGGUGCUCUGCUCCGGCGCCGCGUCCACCAGCGGACGCCCAAGCACCGCCGCGCCGGUGUCGCAGUCGCAGCACGGCAUACUGGCGCACCUCUACCGCCACAGCGUCGAGGUCGACGCGCUUGUCCGUAUCGAGGUGCGCUGCGUCCCUGCGUUGGCUUCUCUGUUCGUUUAGGUAUCACACACACACACAUCAGGCUGACUGACUGUCUCCCUCCCGCCGCAAUCGCAUCGCAUGCAGAACGAGAGGCUGCGGGCGGGGCUGGAGGAGGCGCGGCGGCGGCACGUCCGGGCCGUGGUGUCGGCCGUGGAGCGCGGCGCGGCGCGGCGCCUGCGGGCGGCGGAGGCCGACCUUGCGCGCGCGCUGGCGCGCAAUGCGGAGCUCGGCGAGAGGGUCCGCGAGAUGGGCGCGGAGGGGCAAGCGUGGCAGGGCAUCGCCAGCGGCCACGAGGCUGCCGCCGCCGGUCUGCGCGCCACGCUCGAGCAGCUCCUCCUCCAGCAGGCGCCGUGCGCGGGCGCGGCUGACGAGGAGGGCCAGGGAGAGGGAGAGGCGGUGGUGGAGGACGCGCGGUCGUGCUGCUUCGAGCCGGAGCGGGAGCGGCGGCACGAAGGCGGCCCGGACGACGACGACGACGACAAGCAGGCCCGUGGCAGUGGCUGCACGAGGGCGGCGUGCCGGGCGUGCGGCGCGGCGGAUGCGUGCGUGCUGCUGCUGCCGUGCCGGCACCUGUGCCUUUGCGGUUGGUGCGAGGCGGUUGUCGAGGCGUGCCCCGUGUGCGCCGCCACCAAGAACGCCUCGCUCCACGUCCUCCUCUCCUGACCUCAUCGGCGCCGGCAAUUUGGGUUGGUUUGCUCGUGCAUUCCAACCUCUUUCUUCUUGUUUCUCUUGCAAUCUUCGUGAGACAUUAAACUAACCGAUGUUUUUUUUUGUUAUGGGUUGCCUUCCGUACGAAGAGACUUGCAUCUGGGGUUGUUCUUUUCGGUGGUGUUGGAUGGGAUUAAUUAGUGGAGUCGUUGAACUUGAUGGGGGAACAGAUUCGAGCAAUUUGCUCCGUUGAGGCAAUCCAAAUAUUCAUUCAUUUACAUCACUUGGUACCUGCACGCACGCCUUUUGUUUAUACGUACUCACAUACGUCCAGGUGUGCAGGUCAGGUGACCCAACAUUUUUUUUGUGUGGUACUAUACGAUGCUGCAAGGAGCGUAAAAUGCAAGCAAAGGGGAAACGCACUUUAGGUUCGUUUAUAGCACCAUCAUCACUAACUAGUAACUAGUUGCGGUGAUGACAGUGGAAUGCCCGCCGGCCGGCAUUUAGUUGUACAACGGCUUGACAAACUUUCGCUCAUCUCCAACAGUUAUGCAAUUGGAAUUUGCUAUUUGUUAGAGUUUGCCAAGUCCCUAAAUAUUUUGCCAAAGGAAAAAUAAGUUCAUCUCUAAGUGUUUGGUAUUUUUGACUUGGCAUAUCCCAAAAUAGUGGACCUAACUAUUUUUGUCCGAAAAUCUUUUAUCUUCGCGGGAAAUUUUCUCGCGUGUCGCGCGGGCGCCCGUCGCGCACAAUUCCUUCGGCCGUCGCCGCCAUUUCUCUCGCGCGUCGCCGCUUGGUCCAUGUCGUCGAGAUCCGAUCGAGACAACUGUCCCAGGGUGCACCGCGGCAUCCAGGUUGCAAGGAAAAAAGGAGGUGGCGCGCAGAAAAAAGGAGGCGGCGCGCGGGGAGGAGUCGUUUCGCGGGAAACUACCGCGACGUGGGGAGUACGGGCACGACAAGGAGUCCAAGAUUCUCGGGAUAUCAAAAUUGCCAAGCUAUUGUGCUUAUGCAAAAAUGUCAAGUUUGGUCCAUCAAAUGCCAAGUUUGCCAAAAUGUAUAAGUCAAAUGUAAAACUGUUGGAGAGUAAUUUUUAAGGUUUUGGACAAAUUUCAAGAAUGCAAAGUUCAAUUGCAUAACUGUUGGAGAUGCUCAGGUCUCUAUUUUCAGAAUUCAGAUAAAAAAAAUGUUUGUUUUUGUGUGUUAUCGUGUGAGUUGAUGGUGAUAUUUGUCACUUGUCUGAUGUUUGUCUGGUGAAACGCCCUUGGAUUCAUCAGUUAAUUAGUUCAUUGCCGUUUCCGACUUUCCAUACGCAAGCGCGAAAGGACUCAGAGCCAUAAAAUCUGCAGAAAAAUAUGCAGUUUCCUUACGGCCUUGUUUAGUUCCAAAAAAUUUUACAAAAUCGACACUGUAGCAAUUUCGUUUGUAUUUGACAAAAAUUGUCCAAUCAUGGACUAAUUAGGCUUCAAAAAUUCGUCUCGUCAAUUUCGACCAAACUGUGCAAUUAGUUUUUAUUUUCAUCUAUAUCUAAUACUCCAUGCAUGCGUCUAAAGAUUCGAUGUGACGGGGAAUCUGAAAAAUUUUGCAAAAUUUUUUAGGAACUAAACAAGGCCUACUUUGGAGUAAAAUUUGCGCUUCACAUUUUCUGUGUUUCUGCCGCUGGGCCGUCGUCCUGCUCCUGCGGUUUUGAUGCGAGCCGUAGAAGAGGAGUCGGAGUCGUUUCGCACGUAGCAAGGCCUCCAAAUCGAAACCGCAGCCGCGGUCACCUCUUCGGCAGCGGCCGAUCAAUCCAUGCAGUUACAGCUCUCGUCUGGUUGAUUGUUCCUGAAAACAGGCCGACACCUGAAUUUUCGCAGUAGAGUACAGGAUCGUCGCCGAGAAAGUAGAGUACUGUACUCGUAGAGUGCGGUGCAGUAGAGAGAGGCAAGCAGGCAGGCAACCAACCACUGCAACCGUUGUCUGAAACUCGACAGGAAAACGUGCCAGUAACUGGUAGCAACAGACGGACGGAGACGGACAGCCGGACAGGCGAUCGGCGAUCGGCGAUCGGCAGCAGCUGGCCACUGCCCAUGCCGGCUGGUGACCGAUGGACGACGUACCAGUCAUAAUGAACGACACUGUAGGAGUAGCCUGUACUUGAGACGGACGUCUGCGAGAUCCGCAGAUGCUGUUGGGAGACCCCAUCCCGGGAUCCCACACACUGCACGCAUCAAUGGCUCCGGCGGUCCGGCCACGACGACGACGACGACGGUGCUGCAGAUGCUAUGCUGGCCCCCUCGCCCACACGACAGCGAGGCGACCACCGGCCUCCUCCUCGCUCCUUCUUGACUCCUGCGUGUGCCUGUGCCUUGUUAGGUUCCUGUCACUGCUUCUGACGAUGCUGUCUCACUGUCACAGCGCUCAGAUCCGUGCCGUGUCUACAGUAACAGUACUGACGAUAUCUUCGCUGCGCCCAUCCUUCAGCAGCCUGCACCGAUCGUCCGUGCACCGCCAUGAUGGCGCUGUCGCCGGACGACGAGAUGGAAAUGUGGAGGGGACACUCGAUAAUGCGUGCGGAACAGUGUUCCGGCCGGUGCUGACCUCUGAGCUCUGUCCGUUCGCCGUUGCUGCAACGCAUGCUUCCAUCGUGCUUAGCUUAUGGCCUGUUUAGAUUGGAAACGAAAAAUUUUUGGGUGUCACAUCGGAUGUGUCGGAAGGAUGUCGGGAGGGGUUUUUAGAAACUAAUAAAAAAACAAAUUACAUAGCUCGUCAGAAAACUGCCAGACAAAUUUAUUAAGCAUAAUUAAUCUGUCAUUAGCAUAUGUGGGUUACUGUAGCACUUAAGGCUAAUCAUGGAGUAACUAGGCUUAAAAGAUUCGUCUCGCGAUUCUCAACUAAACUGUGUAAUUAGUUUAUUUUUUUAUCUACAUUUAAUGUUCCAUGCAUGUGUCUAAAGAUUCGAUGAGAUGGAUAAAAAAUUUUUAGGUGGGAAACUAAACAGGGCCUUAGCGGGAUCGAUCAGAUAACAUGAUUGCUGCAGUGGGGGCUAGUGCCCGAUCCGUGUCAGCUAGCCUCUUUCACUCUGAUCGGAACGUCAUCAGUCACCACCACUGCACCACACCAUUACUUUGGCCAAAGUUAUCAGCUAUGCUAUUUGCUCUAGGAUAUGGCUACAUGCUAGCUGAUGAACUACUAAACCUGAAGCUCAUCCAUUUUUCCUAUAGAGAAGUUGGACUGUUGUCUAUAGCAUUUCCAACAGGGUGGGCAUAUGGUACCGAAUGGUCCCAUCUCCAUCCUAGCACAGAAUCUCACGAAAAAAAAUCCCAAACCAUGGGUAAUUGACUUUUUUUAGUUAGGUGCCGUUUGGACGGCUCUGGGUUUUAGAAAUCUGGAUUAUGUAGCGUCAAGUGGAUUCUGAGAUUUUGAAAGCUUGAAUGAUACUGUAUGAGACUUUGAGAAUCAGCUUUACUAUUGUCCUCCUGUUUGCAUGGUGUAGACAUUUUUUUUAUAAGAAUUCCAAAAUCUUUAACUAAUCAAACGGGGCUUUAGGGCACUCACAAUGCAAGACUCUAUCUCAGAGUCCAAGACAAUUAUUUACAUAUUAUUUAUGAUAUUUUGUUGAUGUGGCAGCAUAUUUAUUGAAGAAAGAGAUAAAAAAAUAAGACUUCAAGUCUUAUUUAGACUCUAAUCCCACAUUGUUCGAGGUAAUAAAUAACUUUAGACUCUAUGAUAGAGUAUAUAUUGUGGUGCCCUUAGUGCACUCACAAUGCAAGACUCUAUCAUAGAGUCUAAGACAAUUAAUUACAUAUUAUUUAUGGUAUUUUGUUGAUGUGGCAGCAUAUUUAUUGAAGAAAGAGAUAGAAAAAAUAAGACUCGAAGUCUUAUUUAGACUCUAAGUCCACACUAUUCGAGGUAAUAAAUAACUUUAGACUCUAUGAUGGAGUCUGCAUUGUGAGUGCCCUUAGGGCACUCCUUACCUAUUAAUUUCUAUAGACACUAUGUACAGAAACUAUGGCCCCAAUGGAUAGUUUCUAUAUAAUAAUGUUUUAUCCAAUCACAUUCAUUCUCUCUCCAUUCUCAAUUCUCAACCAAUCAUAUCACUUCAUGUCUUGGAUCUCAUAUAGAUAUGAUUUCUAACUUAGACCUAGUUUCUAUGAUUUUUGUUCUCACUACUACAAAAAUUAUUAACUGCGACGGUCGUUUUUUAUUAACCGAGGCGGGCACAUGUGACCGCCGCGAAUGAAAGGUCACCAUUAAUGGUGGCUUAACUACAACGGUUGCCUGUGCCCGCCACGGUUAAUUGAUUAACCACGGCAGGCAAUUAAGGAAGACCGCCACGGUUAAUAAAUUUAAUAAAAACAAAAAACCUAGAGCCCACCGGAGAGUCCAUUUCCGAGCCCACUGGCUAGAUCCACUAUCUAAUCCCAGCCCCAAAGCUAGAUCCACGCCCAUGCUUCAUCGAAUCUGCCUCUGCUCCACUGGAUCUGCAAAAGGGAAAGGGUGAGGGAGAUGAAGAGGGGAAGAGAGGGAUGAGUGAAGGAGAUGGUGAGAAAGAGGGUUCUCUACCUUCAUCGACGCUAGAAUCACCUCCUGCCGCAUGCUGACCGUCGCGGUGCGUGGGCGGGUGCCCGUCGCUGCGUCCCGAACCACCUCCUAGGCGCAAUCCGCGCUGACGCGGGCGAGCUCCGCGCGCUGGCCGCCGAGGCCGUGGCCUCCGUCGCGGCGCAUGGACGGGUGCCCAUCGUGGCUAGGGGCUCCAACUAGCUCAUCCAUGUGCUCCUGGCCGACGACUGCCUCGGUGGAGUGGAGUGGAGGGGAGGGGAGGGCCGGGUUGGGAGGGGAGGGGAUGGGGAGUGGAGGGGAUGGGAGUGGAGGGGCUUCCUCGUUGCCAGGAAGGGAGUGGAGCGGAGGGGAGGGGCCGGGUCAGGAGGGGAGGGGAUGGGGAUAGAGGGUGCGGCUCAGACUGGGAGAGAAGUUAGGGUUUGAGAUGAGACUUCGUUUAUAUAUUGCCUAUGGUAGUGGGCCUUAAGUGGGCUUAUGGGUUGGUCUUGAUUUAUCGAGACGGGCCUUAUAACGUGUGACCGCCUCGGUUAAUACAUUAACUGAGGCGUUUGCGUUAGGAAAACCGCCUUAGUUAAUAAAUAUUAACCGAGACGGUUGAGUUAGAAAAACCGCCUCGGUAAAUAGAUUUUACGAGGCGGUCGACUAUAACCGCCUCGGUUAAUAAAAAGAUAAUCGCCUCAGUUAAUGCUAGGCAUUAAUCGAGGCGGUUAAAAAUGUUGCCCGACUCCGAGGACCAUUUUGAAAGGUCAUGGUUAAUAAAUUUUGUAGUAGUGUCUCUCUCUUCAAUAACUACCUUACCACAUCAGCAAAAUACUUAGGUGACAUCACCAUUAAUGUCUAUAGAAACUAUGAUGAUUUCUGCAUUGGAAGUGCCCUUGGUGAGGUGGUGUACGUGUGGACCUGAACAGUUGAGCCAUUAUUCGACCCAGAAUCCAAGAGAAUUAUCAUGGGAUAUCUUCCGUUUGUUGGGCCCCUUUCUAUUCCCACCUCACCAAGGAUAACAAGCCAUCCUAAACAUUUCAUGGAAAUUGCUGGGGUUCAGAUCUUGUUUAGUUUGUGAAAAUUUUUGGAUUUAACUACUGUAGUAUUUUUGUUUUUAGUAAUUAAUGUCUAAUCAUAGACUAAUUAGGCUCAAAAAAUUUAUCUCACAAAUUAUAUGCAAAUUGCACAAUUAGUUAUUUUUAUCUAUAUUAAUUUAAUACUCUAUACAUGCAUUCAAAAAUUCGAUGUGAUGGGACGAAAAAAAUUAGGGAACUAAAUAGGGCCUCAAAAUUACACUAUAUUUCAUCGAGUUUGCUUUACACUUGGGUUUCAUCUUAACACAUUUUUUUUUUCAAAAAUGGGCUUGUACCCCAAACUCUGUACUAUCGCUGAUGCUCACUCUAUUUGUUCUAAGUUAUGACUUUUCUAGCUUGGUAUAUAAUUUUUGCUAUGUAUCUAGAUCUACUGUCUAGAUAUAUAGUAAAAGUAGUUUUUUAUGACUUAUAGUAAAAGUAGUUAUGUGUCUAAAAAAGAAGUGACUCAUAGUUUGGAACCAAUGGAGUAAAUAAGGGGAAUAUAUUUGGCAAGAAUUCACACAAAUGAACAUGUGCUAGUGGGAAAUCCUUGGUAUACCAUGCAGAAAAGAAGGAAUAAAUGAAAAGUAACACCGUAGUAGUACCCUGUCAAGGGAAAAGAUGAAAAAUGUGGAUAGAUUAGGUGCGUCUUUCGACAAAAUUAACACUAUCUCGAAUCGAAUUGAAAGGAGGGGUCGGUAUGCCAUUCUUGUUGCGCGCGCGUUGAUAAGGUGGUGGCCAACAUGACAAAGGCAAUGCAGCGCCUCAUCAAAUUGUAAGUAGGCUUUUCCUUUCCCCAUCUCUUUCUCUUUUCCAAGCGGUAGCUAACCUAGAUUUCUUCUUCAUCCGUCCAUUUGCGUGCAAGCCAAGAAGAUGUCAAUAUAUAUGUAAAUAUAUAAAGGUGUAUGUAAACGCAUGAUGCAUGUACAUGUGUGCCUGCCCUGGGAUGCGAGGUGAUGAAGAAGUUGCAACAAAGCAACAGCAAUGCAUGCAACCACUUUGGAUGCAACAAGCAGAAAAGAGGUGUAGCUAGCCCAAUCGUGCACCCACAUGAGGUGGCAUAUUAUUCCCCCUCUCCGUCCCCUCUGAAAGCAUGGGCCUUGUUUGUGUCCUUUAUUUAGGUCAUCAUGCAAGUACUAUGCUCUUCUCUUCUCUAAAAAAAAAACCAAUUACCGAUGCAUGCAGCAGCAGGCCAGGAGGCAAAGCAAAAGAGCACUUUUGAAGUACCCCUCAAUCGUGCCCCAUGCACAGCACGACGAUCGAGUGCAGUGGUGACGACUCUUCAACCAAAACAAACAAACAAACAAAUCCUGAUCUGGUGCAGUGUAGUGCCAGGCCAUGGGCAAGGAGGGAAAAAGAACGCAAAAGUGAGGCGACGAGAUCUCAUCUUUUCCAAGGUUGUGCAUGCACGGUGACCCACUUAAACAUGUCUUGGAGCUGAUCGAUAUUCAUGAGGACAAAUAAAAGACGAUGCCGGCCCAGUGCUGUCAGUUGUCACCCCCAUCGGUGAUCGGUCCUCCCUCAUGGACAUUCAUCUUUGUUUUCACGUCACUUUACUUGCAUUGCAUCUUUUCUUUUCUUUUCCCUGCAUCUCCCAUCCUUUUUCUUCGUAGCUUGUAGCUGAUGUGUGCCUAGGAGAAUCUAUAUAUGCAGCCAUCGGCCAAUCCUUGGAGAGGAGAGCCAUCGACCUGUCUAUCUCAUGAUGAAGGAUCACACUCACUCACACUCACUCACAUUGGCACACAAACUUUUGCUUGGAAUGGUAGUGGUGGUGGUGUGUGGAUCCAUUUGGAAUUGAAUUCCCAAUUGCCUCUUUUCCGCAUGCAGCUGAAAUACUCCAGCUAAGCUAGGAAUGGAGUUGCAUGCAGUAGCCUGGUCGUGGUGGUGGUGGUGCUGGUGGUGUCGAUUCCAACUGCCCAACAGAGCACCAGAGUCUCAAAGCUAAGCAUGCAGGUAGGCAUCAGUGCGUGUGCAUGUAGUAAGGAUGUACUAGGGCGGCAUCAAAAGCAAGCAUCGAUGGAGUGGAGUGUGGAUUGGAUUUGGGUGCCCUGUUCCUAGGGCUCUGCAGCUCGCUCUCUCUCUCUCUCUCAUCACGGGCCACUACGGCAGCCUGGCCUAACUUCGUGUUACGUUCCUUCCCUCUGGUGGCCUGGUCCAGUGUGGUGGGGUGGCGUUGCUACCAUUGCUGCUGUUGGCCACCUUCCAAAAGGUGCUGCACCUGCACUAUGCAUGCCAAAGGGAAAGGGAAAGAUUUGCUAGCUUGUAGCUUCAAGCAUACAUGUGUCCACUGGAUCCAUGGCCUUGCAUCUUGCAUUGUGUAAAUUAAUGUCUCCCACAGAAGGUAGCCAGCAACAUCCUCCUGCUUGUAGCACUAGUAGGGAUGUUCUCAUCCAUAUUCAACUUUAGUCACUGAAGAUAGCAAUUUUGUCACUCAAUAAUAUUUGUGACCAAUUAGUGACGAUUUUGAGUUGGUCAUUGAGGUCGCGUCACAUUUGUCUUUGGUGAUGAAAGGAUAACUUUCGUCAUAGAUGUGUGUUCAUUCUGUGUCGAAUUACAGGUCGUCAUGUAUGUGAAUUCAAUCUAUGACCAUCUGUUUUGGUCGUAGAAAAAGGCCUGUUUUCGUCAAAAUCCGCCGUCCGACUGGCGACCUAACGGUGUUUUUAACGUCGUGUGUGUUUGCUGACGAUCUAAUUUCGUCAAAUAUUUAUCCUUUUUUUCGACAUUAACCGCCGUUUGGAGCCCACCCGACGGCGUCUGCCACGUUGGCACAUGACAUCAGCGUGAUGUGGCAGAUGACGUGGCACAUGACAUCAGCGCUGAUGUGGUAGAUGACGUGGUAGCUGAUGUCAGCGCUGACAUGGCAGAUGACGUGGCAGCUGAUGUCAGCACUGAUAGUUUGACCUUUGAAUCGUUACACAAUAUUGUAUCGAAUCUUCACAGAAUACUCAUUGAAACCUUCAUAGAAUGUACUUUGAAAUCGUCACAUAAGUGGACAUAACAUAUUAAUUGGAAAUUGAAAAUGAUACUAGCUCACCCAGUGACGUGGACAACACAGAAUUAAGUUAACAGCAUCACCACUUCACAAUGCAUUUCAGCUGAGUUUGCACAAACAUAGUAGCAUAUAAUAAAAAGUUGCCAGCCACAAGCAACUUAAGUUUCCGAGUACCCAAAAUGAACAGGAAACAUGAUAACACAGCAACUCUGACCACCCACAGCAGUUGUGACUAGUAGCCCUCAUGUCGAAGAAGAAGCGUUACCAUGGAAGGACAAGAGCUUCCUGAUGAGCGCAUUGUUCUCCUCCAUCUCUUUGCUGUUCUUCUCUGUAAUCUUCUUAUACUCCUCCAGCUCGUUUUCUAUCCUCACCAGCUGUUCCUCGGCUGCUUCACUUUUCUUCUUGAGCAUGUCGAGUUCACCUUGAACAGCAGCCGCUGCUUCAGCUACAAGUUGUUCUCGAAGCUCGCUUUCAUGUGAUGAUGAUGAUUUGGAGGAUGUGGGUGUUUUCAUCCUAACACUCUUCAGGAAAAUGUGUGAGCUGUUCUUCGAGAGCACCUUGGACACGACCUCCACACUGGAUGCUGCUGUCUCACCAUCAGCAACAGGUUCAGCCCUCAAAAGGUCCAUGUCAGACUGAAAUAGCAUUGAGAAAUAACAGUGCCAUGUUAAGAUGCAAAUCACAAACAACAAGAUGAGAUAUGACAUAAGAUGAGAACUGUUACAAGUGCUUCUCUUGCCGAGCUUUGCAGGCCAUGUUUGGAGCUGGUAUGGCAGGCCUUGAAUGCCUCAACUGCAUCUACUUGUUCAAUUUGAUUUGCACUGGGUUCUUCUCUUAUUCUCUUCUGCUUCUAUUCCGUGGAUAAAGAAUCACAACAAAGUUGAGUCAGAUGAAAUGGAAAAGAAUUUGAGUGCAAAUGUGCAGAUACUAAUACAAGGUAUUUUAUACUUACAUAAGCAUGUAAAUGUACCACAUAGGAGUGAGAUCCCGUCGCCUGAUGAUACUUGACUUUACUGUGGUUCUACUUGUUCUUUUCACAUGUUUCCUACAACAAAACUAAGCAUGUCAGAUUAUAUCAUAUAUAGGUACUUAGUGAAAGAACUUGUAACAAGAUAACCGUACCAUGUUCUUUAGAUCAGACCACUUUGCAACUAGUGCCCUCCACUCUGCAUCAGUCAUGUAUGGAACAGGAGAAGUUGUGCUAAUCUUAUUUGCAGGAACACCAUUGAUGUAUUUUUGCUUGGGGAACAUAUCUAGUGCAAACCACAACUUCCGUGAAAACCUGUGCAAACCAUAGUAAAAAAAUUGUCUAAAUUCAUCAAAAAAACACACAUGUAGAUGAUUUGAUGAUACACAACAUUGUAAAAUAUCUUGUCUAAACUCAACUUUGUUUGUGAGAUAUAAAAAUAACAAAUUUCAAGCCAGAAAGGUGUCCACAGGAUUUGUAGAAAUUUAUUAUUUUUAUAUCUCACAAACGAAUUCGAGUUUGGAUAAGAUAUUUUACAAGGUUGUGUAUCAUCAUAUCAUCUACAUGUGUGAUUUUUUUGGUGAAUUUAGAUAACUUUUUUGCCAUGGUUUGCACAGGUUUUCACGGAGGUUGUAGUUUGCACUAGAUAUAUUCCCUUUUGCUUGAGCCGAUAGCACUGGUUUUUUACUGUAGUGCGCAGCAUAUUGGUGCAAGCUUCCUUUGUUGGCUGGUGCUCAUCGUUAAUGGCCAAGUGCCCCUAGGCAUAUGUCAAUUUCAUAGUUAGUACAUUCAGGUGAAGAAUGGUACAAGUUAACCAUGGAUUCAGUAAUGCACUUACAGAAAGUUGCCCCACAAAGAUUUUGUAGUAUUUAUCGUCCUUCUUGUAGUCUUUCCAAUGAGGUAGGAUAGCGAUGUUUUCCCAAAUGAUUACGCCGGCUUCUGAUGCAAACUUGGCGGCUUGCACAGGUUCAUUUGGCCUUCUUUUGCCUUCCUGAACAACUAUGGGCAAUCUCCUUCCCACAGCUUUAGUCAUCUUGUCCAACUGUUUUCCUUUGGUUGGUGGCCUGGGUCUCCUUGGUGGUCGCUGUGCAGCAGCUACAAAAUGAAAGUUGCAUUUAAUGAAAUUGUUUAGAUUCAUACAAAACUACAAAAGAGAAGUCAUAUGUAAUGAAAACAAUAACUUGCCUUCAGUUACUGCAUCUGUAGAUACAAUGUCUUGAUGAGCACCAGUAGUGUCAUCAGCAGCAAAUGCAAUGUCUUCCUCUGUAGCUGACAUUUCAUGAUCAGCCACUCUAGGUGUCGAACUGUCUAGUAUGUCAUCAUGAGCAUCUGUUGGUUCCUGUACAUUGUGGGCAUCUAUCUGUGAUGUGUGAAGCCUCUUUGAUGACCUUGUUUGGGUUUGAGAUAGUUCCACAUCUGAUUGACCUGCGCUCACUCUCUUGGUGGGCCGAGUUCCUGGAGGCAUGUUGGGUUUUUUUAUCUUUGAAGCGAGGGCUUUCUUGCUACCUCGCUUAGGAUACUAUUAAAAAAACCAAACUCAUUAGCAUUCAAAACCAAAACUAUAUAUUACAUAAAAGGUAUGUAAGCAAGAAGAAUGUAAAAGGAGGAGUCUAUAAUGAACAACAUAUUUAAACCUUCAAGUGCAAUGCAAAUAUUUCUCAUCCACUACUAUAAAGAUAGAAGGAGCACCUGCUGUGCCAAGGGCUGCUCAUCAUGAUCACUAUCAGUACUAGUAUUUCCUUGAUCAUCAUCGUCAAGGACAUAAUCUGAUGAAUCCGAAUCUGAACUAUUUGUUUUCUUGUUUGCUGUUUUUUCCCUUUGUUGAUCCAUAUUGUGGUAAAGAAUUUUCAAGAUCAGAAGACAAAGUUUCCAGACCCAAUUCUUGAAACCUCUUGUUAUUGGCCUCCACUUGCUUAUUCCGUCUUCUCUCAUAAUCAGUUAUUUGAGGUUCAGCUACUUGCAAGAGUAGAAUGUGUGUAUUAGAUAAUAAAAAGGAUUUUACUAAAAGGUAAGAUGUACUACUAUUUGCAAGAAAGAUAAGAGGUCAGAGGUAGAAGUGUCAGGACUAGAUAAAAUAGGUAAUAUGUGAGAGAUUAUUGAUAAGAGGUUAGAAAGAUAAGGGUGCUAAGUUGCAUAACAGUAGUUGUGGACAGUUUCCUAAGAGUCUUAUUAGAUAUAGUUAUUGAGAGGCAACAGUUUGCUAGACUUAACAAUGCAAAUUUAUGGAACAAAAUUCUUCAAACAAUACUCAAUAUUUAAGGACACAUCUAGAAUCAAUUACAAAUUCCAUAGCAAUUAACAACACACAUUAUAUACCAGGUUAGACUCAUGCAGAGGCUGACUGCCCGCUGUUAAUAACACAAGCACACUGAAUGCCUACUUACAUUACAGACUGUUUUACAUCAAUGUUAAAGUGAAUUUGUUGUUUUAACUAAUAGCAAAUCAGCUUCAUAUAUGACUCAAUUUCAUAAAGUACAAAUCAACUUCACGCAUGACUAAGAACUGAAAUUAAAGUAACUGCACGAAUGAGUCAAAGCUGAAAUCACCUUCUUGUUGUUCUGGCCCUUGUCUAUUUCUUUGCCACCUUGUUGCGACCAUUGAUAUCCACUGCUUAGUUGUCGGCGACGACCCCAAUCCUACGAUGGUUACGAUUUAGGGUUAGACAAGAUAAAUGUGGAUGGGGGAGGGAAAUGUGGAUGGCGAUGAGAUAAAGGGGGAUGCUCGGCAAGUCACGUCGACGACGGUGCAGCUCCUCGCCGGUUGUGGUCCCCUGGUGGUGGCGGUUGUGUGGGGUGGAAGGUAGGGGGAUAGGGAGAGGGAGUAGCUCAUCGACGACAUUCGUGUCCUGGGUGGGCGAUGAGGUACCUUGUCGUCAUGGUCGAGGAAACAGCUCCUCGUCGGUGGUUGUAUCCCGGCGGAGGCGGCGACUAGGGUUAGAGAAAUGGGGGCGGGAGAGAGUAGUGGAGGAGGUGCGCAACGGGGGAACAGUGAAAUAAAGGGAUAAAUAUGGCAGCCACCUGUGUUGGUGGUGGGAUUUAUUUUCGGGAUGGCACCUGUUUUGGCGCUCUUUUUUUUGGUGGCACAAUUUGUAUUGAACAAAUACUAUUGCAUCCGAAGUCUAAUGAAUAGUCUUGAGUAAUGUAGUGGUAAGGCCUGUUUACUUUGAUUCAUAGCUCCCGGGUUCGAACCUUGUGUGGGACAUUUUUUAUUUUAUGAAAUUUGUGGGAUUUAUUCCUUUUGUUUUGCUUUGACUAUUUAAAUUAUUUUUUGCAAGUUUCAUUUUUUAUGCCAUAAAUGGAUGAACAUAUCUCUCUUAGUGAAAAGGAACACUUAGGGAUGCCACCUGGAUCACUUUUGGAUGGUAGGUUCAUAUAUGCACUCUAGAUUGAUAUGGUGUUCCAUGUGUUUAAAAGCCAAGAGCUUAUAUGCAUAUGUAAGUAAUAUAUGGUUUAUAGUGUUAUGAUAAUCCUUGGGAUGACAAACAGUUUAGUUUUUCGAUCUUGCUAUUAUUGUGAUGCUACUGGCUUUAGAGCCCAUGGUACAUGACUUAGCGAGAAGGAUAUGUGCGAUGAAUGGAUGACUCUAUGAAGAUGUGCAUGCAUCACCACUCUAUGACAAGGACAAUUACAUUUAUUGGUAAACUAGUUCUACAAAUUGCACCAAUGCAUACAACAACAUGGUGAUUUGGGGAAAGUGGUAUACACAUCUCUCACUUAGUGACGAGGAACACUUAGGAAAUAUAUGGUUGAUAUCUUAUAAAAUUACAAGUGAUUGCAUGACUUGUUUGUGAUGGUAUUAGAGAAUAUAAGUUUAAUAAUUUAUUAAUAUACCAGUUUGUAAAAUUAAAAAGAAAAACAAUUGGGAAACUAUAGUUGAAGUCUAGGAAUAAGAAAGAAAGACAACACAAAAAAGAUUUAUUUAAAAAAAUGGCACCCACAAGCCUCGAACUCACGUGGUGGGGAGGAAACUUUGCUAGCUGAACAGUUGCGCCAUAACAGUGUUUUCAUUAGGAAUCGGCCACAACCUUCUUUUAACUUAAGUCAUGGCAGUAGAUAAAUACGGGAUAAAUAGACAAAUCGCCGAGUCCAUUCCCCUCCCCUCCCCUCCCCUUCCCCUUCCCCUUCCCUUCCAGUCAGCCGGACACACGAAGCCGCCGCUUGGGGUUUUCCUUGAAUAGGGUCUCGGCAGGGAGCACUCCCGGUGGACUAACCAUUGUCAACGUCGUUGACUCCGACGACUGUGCAUCCUCCGACGACUCUAGAUCGACCAUGUGGGGAGAAGAGCACAAUCCCGAGGUGACAUUACCCAUUUCCCCAAUUCCUUUAGGAUUGCUUGUGAUAGAUCAAUAGGUAGCAAUGAUCAAGCAGCCAAAAAAUGGUCGCAAGCUUUGGCCAACUGUGUUGUGCUUCAUCACUAGAUACAAAUACUAGACAGAACUGCAUCAGAUAGAUUUCUUAGUAUGAGGAAUUGACAAUUUUUUCGGCUUGUCUUUGCAGACUUGCAUCGACUGUCUUCAUGAGGAGUGGACAAGAAGAAUAAGAUGAUCAAGAAGCACAAGCGUCAGGUGCAGCAACUGUCAACUAAGAAGUAGGACUGCGAGUCAUGUGGAAGCACCUUGAUGGCUUUUGGAUGUAUCUAGAAGUGUUUUGGAGGCACCUCGCUGUCCUGGGUCACAAUGUCGUGCGGUUAAGUAGUCUAGAUGCUGAUAAGUAAGGUAGGGAUGUAGGAAAUGUUUUGGUGGCACGACGUAGUCAUAGAUCGCUAUGCCGUGCUGUUUAGUAGUCUUUUAUGAUCUGGGAAGUGUUCGGUGAAUGCUGGAUGUAUAAAAGACCUAAAUGGAGUAAUGCUUGUAUAUUCUGUCUUCUGUCAAUUCAGCAUGCUGUUUAGUUUGUUUCCUGUGAUCUUUUUUGUGUGAUGGCAUAUAAGCUGAACUCCUAUAUAUAAUAUACUAUAAACUGAACAGAAAUCAAACAACUCAUGGACAAAAUUUGGUGAUAUGAACUAUGAAUCUGUCAUAUGGAAAUAACAUCAAAUUUAUUUCUAUGAGAAAAAAUUAAACUGAACUAAAAUCAAACAAGAAAUAAAUCAACUCAUCCAAGACUACAAGUCAUCAUCUUCGUCGUCUGUGAACAUGUCAUCAUUGUUGUCACCGCCAGCAUCACUAGAGUAUUACAGCAGUGUAUCAUCUUCCUCCUCAUCCUCACUAUAUUCAAGAACAAUAGCAGUUGCCUUCUUGUUUCUUAUGAGUUGCUGUAAGCUGCCUUAAAUUAUAGUGGCUUCUUCACCUUUGACAGCUUGCAUAACCUCAUUAUCAUCCCCUUCUUGAACUACAUGCUCAGUAUCUGAACAAUAAUCAUCCUGAUGCACAUCAUUAGUACCCUCAUUUGUUUUAGCCACAUCAUAAAUAUUCCUAUGUUCAAAUUUUUGCACAACUCGCCAAUCUUUACCUAGUUGAGAUGUGUCUUGCAGGUAAAUUUUUUUUUGCUUGGUCUGCAAAGACGUAAGGAUCAUUCUUGUACCGAAAUGACGUCACAUUGAUGGGUUUGAAAUGUUUGUCAUCUCGAAGGCCCUCGGUCUUGCGUACUUGGUUGUACCAAUCGCAUCGAAAUACAACAACCGUUCGACGAACUUGAUGAUUGGAGUUGUAUUGCAACUCAAUUAUCUCUUUAAGGACACUAUAAUACUCCUUCCCUUCAAGUUAGCCGGACACACGAAGCCGUCGCUUGGGGUUUUCCUUGAAUAGGGUCUUGGCCACGAGAACUGUCGCUGCCGCCGCCGCCGAGGGAGAAUGGCGCCUCGGAAGACCAAGGCACAGUCGGAGCAUCCCACCCGCAAGCGUGGGACAUUGACGCCUCGGAAGAAGAAUCUGGCGCAGUCGGAGCGUGUGACCCGCCAGCAGCGGGAUGCCAAGGGGAGGUUCACCGGCCCAGCAUUGCCGACCUCUCCGUUCUCCUCGCCGAGGACCAGUCGUGGCCGAGGAGCCGUAAAGGUCCGGAGUCCUGCAUCGGCGAGAUCCAGUCCUCGGGGAGGCGCCGUACAGACCCCACGGCGUUCCUCUACAGGGAGCACUCGUCGCGGAGGCACCGUACAGACCCCUCGGCGUUCCUCGGCGGGGACCAGUCGUCGUGGAGGCACCGUACGGGCCCCUCGGCGUUCCUCGGCGGGGACCAGGCGCCGUACAGGCCCCUCGGCGUUCCGAGGCAGGGAGCACUCGGCGUGGAGGUGCCAUACUUAAAGGCCCCACGGCGUUCCUCGGCGGGUACCAGUCGUCGUGGAGGCGUCGUACAGGCCCCUCGGCGUUCCGCGGCAGGGAGCACUCCCGGCGGACUAACCAUUGUCAGUGUUGUUGACGGUCCUUAAGUAUCAAAUUUAAUUAUCAAAUAAACAAAGAAAAGGAUCCAAAUGAAAUCAACAUCUAGACUUAGGGUUUUAUGUGACAGAAUUCCACGAGUUUUGGUGUUUGUCUAUUUCUGCAGGGGGUUAUCAGGGAAUACGGAAGAAAGGCCCACACGUCGGGAUUACAUAGAGAUAUUAACGUGCCGCACAAUUAUCUUACAUCUAGAAGACUCCAGAAGCCACGGGAAGGAAGUGAAGGCCGAACGGGGCCGAGCACUGGGCGCCCGCCUAGUUGCCCUGGGCGCCCGCCCUCCUGCUGAGUCUAAUCAGGACUCUGUUUCGGGGAAGAUCUCCACCGACCUAAAGGAUCAAGGAUAACCGUUCAAUCUAUGUCGGUUUGAUCCAACGACCCAUAUUCACUUGAGGGGACUAUAAAACCAGACCCCCUGGCCCCUGGAGGAGAGAGCCUCUCAACCCUAAUUUAUUAUUCCUCAAGGGAGAAGAAGCCCCUGAUCAAGAUUAGAGCCACCACAUCAAUUAGACAUCUAGAUUAGCAUAGCUACAUAGGAUUAGAACUAGAAGGAGUCAAUCUUCGAUUGGUUUCCGGAUCUGUCAAGAGGAUUCUUGGUAAUUCUCUAAUUGUGCUUUUAAUUGUUCUUCUAAUUAUCUUUGUUCUUCAAUAUUAUGAAUAUGACUUUGUUCUACUUCAAUAUAUUGCUUAUGACUUUGCUCUACUUGUUUAUAUUCAAGAUUAUAUUGUUCUUAGUUUAUCAUAGUUAUGUACUUGGCUUAGUUAGAUUGGAUCUAUAUACAUGCUUAGGAUCGUAUAGCGUUUAUCCAUCGGAUCCAUGGGUAAAUGAUAGAUAUUGUGUAGGCGUGGUGCUUAUACCGUAUUUAUCUGCGAUUGUACCCAAUAUGCCAGAUCGUGGGGUAGUUCGUGAUAGUGACAGCUUCAUUGAUUCUUAUAUAGUCCCCCUCUCGUGUAUUGGGCUGGCAGAGCAACAUUAUUACAGGGGAGUGAUUGCUAUGUUUCUCAUUUACCUUGCUAAUAUCACUAUGCAUGGGCGUAGUCUUGUCUCACAAUGAUUGCUAAGUAUGCUUACACUAAUUAUGAUAAUGCUAGACUAUAUAGUUGAGAAUAACUUAGGAAAUACUAGAAAACAAUGCGCGGCGUUGCCGCACAGCAGCAUGCGGUGCCCCGUUAUAGAACAAGUUAUAUCAAGCUUAGUACUGUAGUUGUUUAUUAUAUAUACAUUUGAUAUGAGCACAAAUUUGAAAUUAUGUGGUAUUUUCAGAAGAUCUACAUCUUAUAUGUUAGAGUUAGGGUUAGUAGUAUUACAUCUGUGCAAAGGAUAGCAUCGCUAUGAAACUUAGUCUGUUGUGAAAUUGAAAACACAAAACCCAUGCCAUUUGUUCAUUCCCUGUAGAUAUUUUCAAAUUGGGAAAGUUAAUUUACCUAGGGCCUGGCUGAAAUCUGGCUAGGAAUAAUUUCAAUUGACAAAACCUAUUCAAAUUAGAAUACAAAUCCAGCCUGGAAUAUUUUCAGGGCGCCAUUCCCCUUCAAACAAAAUGAGUUUAGGAAGUUGAGCAUUUUGCACCUGCUUGGUGGCUUCUGUCUUCAUAUUCUUUUGGUGCUCCCUGCAAUCUCCCUCCUUUUCUCCUAGUCUCUGUUUUUCUCGCUAGCUUCUCCAUAGACCAGAACAGCUAUGGCAAUGGCAGCAACAGCAGCUCGCUCCUGAAGUGCUCCCUACCGUGUGGGUCUAUGCCUCUGUGGCCCUCUUCUCUGUGUGAGGUAGCCGGAUCGAGCUGUGCCUCUACACCAAAUGUGCAGCACAUGGUAAGCCAAAGCAGAUUCGCUUAAAGUUAGUUCUGUCGAAUCUAUUAUCUCUUACCCUCCUCUCUAGCCCAUUACAAGUCCUUUGCCGAAUCCAUUGUUGGCAGUGUCUAAGGAAGUGAAAUCAGUGCAGAAACGAAGAGCACGUCAGGAGCAAGUUGUUGUUGCUGCCAUAGCCAUUCCGGUCUAUGGAGAAGCCAAAGCGGGAAUAGUGUAUCAGUUCAGAAAUAAGAGUGGAAUUGAAUCGAAUAUUCACAUGCAUAUAUUGUUUUGUUUUUCACACAAACAAAGAAGUCACAAGGAUGCAUAUAUUUAUGUGCUUUGUUCAGUUAAUGGUACAUAGGAGCCGAACAACGUUACUGCAUGUUUCUCUCUCCAUACACAUAUGUUUACCGAUGAACGCAAGACAGAUUAGGUUAAUCCAUCUAUCAUACUAUUUUUUUCCAAAUUCUACAACUAAAUCAAAAUCAUAUUUCCACACUAAAUUGUUCACUUGUCUUAUAAGCCGUAUUUUUUCUGCCAGCCAACAGUAUUUUUUUCUAACAAUAAAUUAGCGAAUAUUAUUUUCAACCAUGACUUUUCAGACCAGCGAAAAGAUUCUAAAUAAAUCAACAGUUCAGUUUUUUUACUAUUGUACCGAUCAAAGGUUUGCUAACCCAUUUAAGUUGUUGUAGUUGAACAUGAUAAACAAUAUUCAUCAGACCAUCAUAUCUCAAAUUAGAAGAAAAACACAUAGAAACCAAAAUUAUCUUUGCAUGUCUGAUUUAGGGGGUGUUUGGUUGGAGAUGUUUAAGUUUAACAGGUACUGUAGCUCUUUUGUUUUAUUUAGCAAUUAGUGUCAAUCAUAGAUUAAUUAGACUCAAAAGAUUCGUAUCUCAACUUACUUUCUAGUUGUGUUUUUAGUUUUACAAACAAUCUAUAUUUAGUACUUCAUACAUAUGUUAAAAUAUUCGAUGUGAUAGGAAUUAAAGUUUAUCGAUGCAAAUCAAACAUGGCCUUAAUCGAGAACAAUGGGAUGAGAGUAAGUACUCAUCACUUACAUACAACAAGCUUUUCUAGACAUGUAAGUGCUACAUUUCUCAGUAACACUGAUUUAAGAGUAACAACUCAAUAUUAUUUUUGCUAUAGAAAUUUAUCUAUAAGGUUUAAGUAAAUCAUCAUUUCUAAUUUAAGCUCCUGUAGGCGCAGGGGGUAUUGAGAUAGCCACAACGCGAUACCUCCUGCCGCUAGGCAUGGGUGUGGCAGGUGGAAGCGGCAGCGACGCAACGCGGGGAGGGCAUGGUGGCCACGGCGACUUUGCAUCACGCUGUAGUGAAGGUUCUAGAAUUGCUAGCUGUUGUGCUGCAUGUGGAUGGUUCGAUCGACAUCCAACGGAGGACAAAAAAAAAGAUGACGUGGACAAAUUAGGUGCCAGAUCCCAUGGUGUGAAUUUCGUCUUUUAAAGAUUCUUGUAGUUCGUUCUAAUUCCAUGCUAAUGACUUUCUAGAGUAUCUAAUUCAGGUGCUUAUCAUAUUUAUUAUGUGGCUAAGUUAUGAUCAGAUUAAUUAUCUUUGUCACUAUUCAUUAUUUCAUAUAUCUUUUAUGCGACACUUAUCCCUGUAUGAAAGAGUUAGAUAAAUGUUCUCAAUUAUAUAUGCAAUGAUAGAUACUCAAUCUCAUAUUCUAUUCUGUAAUCAAUAUUGAUGAUUGCUAAUCCCUUCCCAGUGGUAAAAAUAUAAAUAAUGAUACCUGGAAUACUUUCCGGUUAAAAUGCUACAUCAGUAUUAAUCUGUGCGCUUGCAGAUCCCAUUCAUUAUUUAUUUAGAAGAGCAAUUGCAUAUUUCAAUACCGCGUCUCUCAUGUCAUGCUGGGGAUGACAACUUGGCUUAAGUGGUAUGAGAGAUAGGUUUGGCAUUUUUGGCACCGCUACUAGAAUUAGAAAACUAAGUCUACUUUUGGUAAUGAUGUUAAGAAUACCCAACAAGCAUUUUUGGCGCCGUUGCCGAGGAAGGUUGAUUACUAAUCAAGAAUGAAUAAAGGAUUUUGAGUUAUCAUUCACAUCACUAAUAUGAUUGAGCUUAUCUAUUCUCUCAUACAGUUUUACCCCGAUAUUUUCUAUUUUAUCUUAUGCAGGGGAAUGUAUGAAUAGAAGACAUCUUCUAGAAAAUUUUGUUGACAAUCCCGAAGCGUUAUUCAGAAAAACAAGAGCCAAGCUCAAGAGAUCAUCAACACUUCAGCAAGAAGCUUCAUCCAAUCAAGAAGAUCACCGGAACUUGUCUUCAGAGUUCAAAGCCAUGGCGAACAAAUCAAUCCGCGAGUUCUCAGCUCCCACUACGGACAACAUCCGCACUGGACCUGCUGCAGAGAUCGAUGGCAACUUUGAGCUCAAGCCUGGACUUAUCAACAUGGUGCAAUCCAAUCAGUUCUGUGAGAAGGCACACGAAGAUGCUAGUGCUCAUCUCCAACACUUUCUGGAGAUUUGCAGCACAUUCACCAUAUCAGGAGUCCCCAGAGAUGCUAUACUACUUCGCCUCUUCCCAUUCUCACUGCUAGGAAGAGCGAAGCAGUGGUUUUAUGCUACAAAGGAGAAGAAUACUACGUGGGCACUCUGCUCAACAAACUUCCAGGCUAAGUUCUUUCCCAUGGGCAAGACCAAUGCUCUCCGUGGGAAGAUUACAAGUUUUCAACAACAACAUGACGAAUCUGUUCCAGAAGCAUGGGAGCGCUUCCAAGACUACAUACUAGAAUGUCCCCAUCAUGGAAUGGAGAGUUGGCUACUGAUGCAGACGUUUUAUCAUGCUCUCAGCAACAGUGCCCGAGAGAUCAUGGAUGCUGCAGCCGGAGGAGCAUUCCUAUCACUCAUCAUAUCACAAGCCACAGCUCUUGUGGAGAAGAUGGCAUCCAACCAAGGCUGGAAUGAAGAGAGGACCCAGACACGCAAGAGAGGUGGAGGUAUGCAUCAGAUCAAGGAGGUAGACAUGCUGUCUGUAAAGCUAGACCUGCUCAUGAAGAAGCUCGAUGAUAGAGCUGGAGAUAAGAAAGAAGUUAUGCACAUCUACGACUCUCACAUGACAUGUGAGGAGUGUGGAGAUACUGGACACUCAGGCAAUCACAGCCCUGAGAUACAUGAGGAUGUGAACUACAUCAACAACAACAACAACAAUAACUACUACAACCGUCCUCAGCAAAAUCAAGGUUGGAAUCAAUAGAGGCCUAACUACUCAGGUAAUUAUCAAGGUAACAAUUCUUACAACAAUAAUAAUAAUUUUCCACCUCUGAGAGAGUUAGUGUCUAAUCAAGGAAAGCUAAUGGAUAACCUAUCUAAGAAAUUGGCAUCUAAUGAUAAAAUGCUAGAAAAUAUAAAUAAUAGAAUGGAUAAUUUCUCUACUGCCAUCAAGAAUCAAAUCAGCUUUAAUAAAAUGAUUGAAUCUCAGUUAAAUCAAAUAGCUGCUGCUGUUCCUGCUACUAACCUCGGUAUACCAUCACAACCGGAAGGAUUAGAAUAUGCAAAUCUUGUAGACAUGUUUGAUGCAGGUAAUUGGAGUAACCCCGUCACUGAAUUCACUACUGACCUUCUGCCGGUCAAGAGAGGCGAUCCAGGACGCCCCGUCAUCCCGAUCUCCAUCGGCAUGGUGGACGUCCCAGAAGCACUCUACGACUUUGGCUCCAGCGUCAACAUUAUACCUAGGGUACUCUAUGAAAAAUUCUUUACAUAUCCUUUGUUUGAAACAACCAUGUGUUUGCAGUUUGCAGAUCAGACAAUAAGUUUUCCAAAAGGAAUAUUGAUGAACCUUUGUGUCCGAAUUGGUACCUUAUAUGCCCCAGCAGACUUCGUGGUGAUAGAGACCGGUAAUGAUGAGAGGGCACCCAUCAUCUUAGGGAGGCCAUUCUUAAACACCUCGGGAGCUGUCAUCUACGCUAGUGCUGCCAAGAUCAGUUUCUACAUCAAAGGGAGAAAGGAGACGUUUUCCUUCAAGAACAAGACUACACAAAUCCUAGAUCAAUCCAGACGUGAAUCAAGGAAGAGGACCAAUAGGAGGAACAGGAACAAGCAAGUGUGGACCGAGUCAGCUAAGAUGGUCACUGCAGUUCAUGGAGGCCAAGAUCACCAACUUAAGUCACCAUUUUUGACCAAGAAGGACGACCCAGGAAUGCUAAGCAUCUACUGCUCCAUAAAUGGAUACAACUUCUAUAAGACGACUUGCGACACCGGAUCGGGCGUCAACGUAAUGGCCGCAGUCACCUAUCGGCUCUUGGUCGGAACCAUGCCCCUGAAACCAACAUACAUUCAACUCCAGAUGGCAGAUCAGACGUUUCGAGAAGUUAAAGGAACAGUAACUGAUGUCCCUGUCAAAAUAGACGAUCAUUUUGUCUACACAGACUUUUAGGUUAUUGACAUGAGAGAAGACGAGUACGAUCCACCCAUCAUCCUUGGAAGACCAUUUCUCAGCACCGUUAAAGCAAUCAUCUACAUUGGAACUGGAGAAGUCCAUAUGCACCUCCCCUCAGAGAAGGUAUGCCGUUAUUUUACUGACCCUAACUACAUCUUUGAAGAAUCUAAGCAGGUAAGAAAACGCCGCAACCGCAACCAGAGGAGGCAAAUCAUCAAGGACGGAUGGGCAGACUAUGAAGGAGAAGUUGUAAGGUCAGAAGACGUAGAGUUUAAACAGAAUUAUCCAGAGGAGACCGAAGCACCGAGUCAGGUAUGGAAAGAGAAGAUAACUAUACAUGAAGAGGAGGCGCCGCCAGAAGUACCGACUACGCCACCCAACGAAUCCCAGGACAAUUGAGAAAAUGAAGAGUCCCGUUUGGAGGACUUAAAAACACCGAACGCCUUGCUAAGAGGUAAACUUGGUAGUUAUCCUUUCCUUUUCAAUUAUUUAAAUAGUUUGCUUAGUUAAUCAUGUUCAUACUAUCCUAAAAAGAAAAUAAAAAUGAAAAAAAUGUAAGCCCCAUGUGAGUAUACGAGUGGCAUAAAACCCAUAAGUACAUUCACUGUGGUGGCAUAAAAAUAAAAUAAAAAUUUCUUUUCUGCUUUAUAAAAUGAAAAUAUAAAAAUAGGGAGUAAUAGUUAUUAAGGAGUCUCAACAUGAUAAAGGCUAGAUAUUUAUGCUAACACUUAAUCAGUUCCACAAGCUUUGUUGUCUAUUUGAGCUCCACAGAAUUUAAGAAUCAAGAAGACUAGCAGACAGAGGACAUUCUAAUCGCUGUCAGAAUGUUGCUGACUUUCAAAUACACCUCUGCCACCUGCUAGCUAUAUCAAGAGAAAUUACGUCAAAAUUCAGCUUGGGGGAGAGCACCCCCAUUUAUCCCGAUAAGUAUUUCUAUCUAUCUUUAUACUUAUACUAUAUUAAAAUAUAGAUAUACAUAAUUAUGGAAAAACCAAAUAAAGAUUUUGUGCUUAUAUAUAUCUUUUGCUUAGUGUGUUUAAUAAAUAAAGUGGCUAUGCUAAUCUGUAUCUAAAUAAAACUCUAGCAUAGAUAUGAUGAAUAGUUGCUCUGCCUAAUUUUCACAUUUUAAGUUCUCUCUCAAGUUUAGAUAUAACUGUUAUAAUUUAAAAGCUUGCUCUAGACCUAAACUUGUGGGAUGAAAACUUGAUCUGAAGUCUAAGUUGUUAACGGAUAUGAUUUGGGAAGGUUGAGCUGCUGUUUAUCUGUUCCUAGAGAUGCUAGAAUUCUGGAGAAUUUUAUCUUUGAAAAAUCUUUAAAAUAUUGCAUGAUGAGUUCCUGUAUGAUGAGAGUUUAAAUUCCUACCACAGCCAUAUAUACAUACUUGCUAGACUUUGAGCCACACAUUUACUAUUUACUGCUUAUGAGCAUUGAGUGUGGUCAAGCUGUGUAGACCCUUAGGAGCUUGUCAUGUGGUUAAAUCAAGAUUCACUUGCAUGUUCACUCACAUAUGCUGCUUCUACUCCGGAAGUACCAUCCACAUAUAUCCACUCAUUUCCAUCUCCAGAACCACCCAAAAAUAUUCUACUCCUAAUCCGGGAGAGAAUAGCCAAAAAAUAUCUCUGUUUUUCCUUGUGAAAUAAAUGCUCAAGUUAUCUUGUUACUACCACUUGCUAUAUUAUCUUAAGAGAUGAGUGCUCUAUAAAAAAAAGAGAAAAAAAAAAUAAAGAAAUACGAGGAAAUAAAAAGGGGCAAGUGCCCGGAACCUCGAAAGAAAAGAAAAAGUGAGACAAGAGGUAAAAAUGGACAAGUGUCCGACACUAGAAUUAGGGGUACAAGAUACCCACCUGAGAGGAAAGAAAAAGAAAAAGAAGAGCAUCUUAUUCUCGUCAUAAAAUUUCAAAAAGCAAGGAAGGUAUGUAUCCCCUCAAAAGAGCAAAAAUAGAAUUAGACUUUCACCAUUGUUAUCACCAUUAUCACCAUACACCAUUCAUUCGCCACACAUGCACAUCUUGAUUUGACUUAUUGAUUUGCUUCUUUGGAUCCAUGGUUUGACUAUGCAAUAAAUGUCUUGUAAGUAUGUAUAUUUUAUUUCCCACCUAUGAGCUCCAGAUAUUAAAGCCUUAUUAGAGUAGGGUGAGAGAGAAGGCAAUAUCACUAUGCCUUAUACCACAAAAUACCACAUACUUUGAGAGAGGGCAUAUACCAUCACUGCCUUGGUGAGGAUCCAAAAAUACCACAAAAGAGAGAUUUGAGAGAGUCAUACAAGGAAUCUCUGAGUUUUAUUUGAAAAUCUGCAAAAACUCCAGAGCUAUAGCUGAUCAAGAAUAAGAGACAUGGCACUUGACUAAGACUGUUCUAUCUUUUAACUACUCAAGACAGAAGUGACGGUUACAAGUCCCAUGGUAAAAGGUAAAGUAAGUAAGUUUUAAGUCUUGACAGUUUACUCUAACUCAGAGAUGAGACCUCAUUUAAAAGCAUGUGUACCGUCAAUUUUUAAAGGUAUUGCAACAACUUCUAAUCCAUCACUGAGUUUAUCCUUGCUCAGGGACGAGCAAGAGGUAAGCUUGGGGGAGUUUGUUGACGGUCCUUAAGUAUCAAAUUUAAUUAUCAAAUAAACAAAGAAAAGGAUCCAAAUGAAAUCAACAUCUAGACUUAGGGUUUUAUCUGACAGAAUUCCAUGAGUUUUGGUGUUUGUCUAUUUCUGCAGGGGUUAUCAGGGAAUACGGAAGAAAGGCCCACACGUCAGGAUUACAUAGAGAUAUUAACGUGCCGCACAAUUAUCUUACAUCUAGAAGACUCCAGAAGCCACGGGAAGGAAGCGGAGGCCGAACGGGGCCGGGCACUGGGCGCCCGCCCAGUUGGUCUGGGCGCCCGCCCUCCUGCUGAGUCUAAUCAGGACUCUGUUUCGGGGAAGAUCUCCACCGACCUAAAGGAUCAAGGAUAACCGUUCAAUCUAUGUCGGUUUGAUCCGACGGCCCAUAUUCACUUGAAGGGACUAUAAAACUAGACGCCCUGGCCCCUGGAGGAGAGAGCCUCUCAACCCUAAUUCAUUAUUCCUCAAGGGAGAAGAAGCCCCUGAUCAAGAUUAGAGCCACCACAUCAAUUAGACAUC
rnacentral:lncRNA from 1 species